CAAUCUCAGCAAGCUCCUCCAAGCACCAUCCUGAAAAGGCAUAGGUUUUUGAAAAAAUAAUUACCGAGCACCAUGAUUGUUGAAUUGCUUUGGAGAGUUCGGGGGCGAUCUCUUCGCCAGCCUCCAGCUUUGGAUCAUCCCUGAAGGUGACGAUCCCACUACUCUUUAGAGCAUCAUAAAGAUGAGCCGUGAAGUUCUUGCGAGUAUCUUCACCUCUAAAACUCAAGAAAACAUCAUAUUUCUUUCUUGAAAUGGGCGAAGAAGUCGAAGGUAACGACAACAUAAGGAUGUAUGAAAGGAGAAGGAUACCUCUAUCUGGUGUUCAAAAUGAGAAAAUAGAUCUCCCGAUCCUCGCAAAGAAAGUAGAAAAAGUAAGUAUAUGAGCAUAGGGGUGGAAAUUAGGGGGUCAAAGAUGAGUGAUGUAUGUUCUUUCCAAUAAGAAUCCAAGAAGGUGAGAGUUGGCAAAGUGGAGGCUGUUAAAAAUGUUGGACGGUUUGUAUUUUUCGUAUUUAAUAAUUAUAGAGUAGAUAAGAUUAUGACAAUAAUCAUUAGAAUAUAUCUUUAAUAAUUAUUCUUCGUUAUGGGCUGGUUUAAAAGUUGACCAAAUAACCAACUACUCGCAUGACACGUGGAAAACUUCUAUCUCGAAAGACAGAUCCAUUUCAGCUGCUUAAGAUUAUUUUUGGUUAGAGCCGACCCGAUUAAUGAACAAAUAAAUAAAAAUAAGAAAAAAAUUUAAAAUAUGAACACAACGUGGAAAAACUCUCUGAAAAUGAUAAAAAAUCACAGGUAAUGAUAAUUUUAUUAUAAUGGUAAAAGAAUGAAUGGUACAAAAGAUGAAGAUAAAAAUUAAACUCCGAAAACAAAGAACUCUCAAAACAUAAACACAAAAUUCUCUAAAAGUGUUAUGAAUUCUAAUCUCUAAUAGGUGUAUUUUCUAAUACUGUAAAAAAAUUCUAUUGAUAGGCUAAAUUCGUAUGUGAAAUAAUAAUAAAAUAAUCUAGACUAAUCAGAUUUUGAUUGAAACAAAUAAAUAGAGUUUAAUUGGAAGAUUAUUUAUCAAAUUUGACUGAAAUAUGAGUCAUACUCAACAAAUCUCCACAUUGACUGGUAUUUCCACAACGCCACCUUUGCUAAAGCCUACCAAGAGCCUAUCUUGACCUAUGUAGGGAAUUAAUUGAGUUGAAUUUGUGUUUAGAAGCUGGAAUGCUUCUAGACUUCAACUUGUGCAUUGUCAAAUCAAAACUAACCCGGAUCUGAUUUUCACAAACACAAUGCUCUAACUUUUUAAAAUCGACAUCUAAAAGAGAACCUCCGCUCCAAACGAGUUAACUUUGACUCCGUAAUAGAUGAGGGACGUCCGAUUUCACUAAUCACUGUAGAACCUUUAAAAAAAUAAAGACUGUCGGUCCUUUUACCUUUUAACAAACUGAGAGUCCCACAAGACACCUUAAUGUCGUUAGACUCGAUGUUGAUUCUGUAACUUUUCGAGUCUAAAUUACUUAAGCAGAUGAGAUUCUUUCGUAAAUCAGGUACAUACCUGACAUCUGAGAAUGCCCUAAUCGCCUCAUCGUGCAUCCUAAUUUUAUAGUAACAAUACCAAUUACCUUACCAGAUGAAUCAUUUCCCAUACGCUUAGCUCCACCUUCAACCGAACUGUAUGUGAAGAACCAUUCUCUAUUGGGACACAUGUGGAAAGAACAUCCCGAAUCUCGGAUCCACUUGGACAUAAGCUCAGAACUACCGCUUGUUAACACUAAUAAAAAAUCAUCACCGCUUUUGUCGGCCAAAUUAGCACAAGCUACACCUUCCUCAUUGCUCUCAAUAGCCUUUUUAAUUUGCAGUUUAUAACAAUCUGCUUUGACGUGACCUAACUUCUAACAAUAGCGAAAUCUUUUGUCUCGCUUCUUUCGCUUCUUUGAUGUUACCAAAAUAGAAGCUUGCCUAUUUUCCUUGCUAUCCAAACCAAACUCAUUGUUGAGUUUAUCUUUGCUUAACAAAUGACCCUUCACGUCCUCCAAUGAGAGAUUAUCUCUCCUAUAAGUCAUUGUUUCCCUGAAAGACUUGUAUAAAGGGAGUAAAGAGCACAAAGAUAAUAUAGUCUGCUCCUCAUCAUCAAUUUGAACCUCAACGUUAUUUAAAUCAUUUAAAAGAGUAAUGAAUUGACUGAUGUAAUCUCUAAGAAGCUCACAUUUGUUCAUGCGAAAUGUAAAUAGUUGUUGCUUUGGAGAGUUCGGGUGCGAUCUCUUCGCCAGCCUCCAGCUUUGGAUCAUCCCUGAAGGUGACGAUCCCACUACUCUAUAGAGCAUCAUAAAGAUGACCCGUGAAGUUCUUGCGAGUAUCUUCACCUCUAAAACUCAAGAAAACAUCAUAUUUCUUUCUAGAUAUGGGCGAAGAAGUCGAAGGUAACGACAGCAUGAGGAUGUAUGAAAGGAGAAGGAUAUCUGUAUCUGGUGUUCAAAAUCAGAAAAUAGAUCGCCCGAUCCUCGCAAAGUAUAUGGGCAUAGGGGCGGAAAUUAGGGGUCAAAGAUGAGUGAUGGAUGUUCUUUCCAAUCCAAGAAGGUGAGACUUGGAACAGUGGAGGAUAUUAAAAAUGUUGGACGGUUUGUAUUUUACGUAUUUAAUAAGAUUUUGACAAUAAUCAUUAGAAUAUGUCUUUAAUAAUUAUCCUUCGUUAUGGGCUGCUUAAAAAGUUUACCAAACAACCUACUACUUGCAUCGACACGUGGAAAACCUCUAUCUCGAAAGAUAAAUCCAUUUGGGCUGGUUAAGAUUAUUUUUGGUUGGAAAUCGAUUCGAUUAAGCAACGAAUAAGUAAAAAUAGUAAAAAAAUUGAGAAAUUAAACACAUAAAUUUAACAUGAAAAAACUCUCCGAAGAGGAUAAAAAAUCACAGGUAAAGAUAAUUUUAUUAUAAGGGAAAAAGAACGAAGAGUAUAAAAGAUGGAGAUAAAAAUUAAAUCCCGAAAAUAAAGAACCCUCAAAAUAUAAACCAAAAUUCUCCAAAAGUAUCAUGAAUUCUAAUCUCUAAUGGAUGUAUUUUCUAAUAUUGUAAAAAAAUCUAUUUAUUGACUAAAUUUGUAUGUCAAAUAAUAAUAAAAUAAUCUAAACUAAUUAGAAUUUGAUUAAAAUAAACCAAUAGAGUUUAAUUGGAAGAUUAUUUCAGUUGUUGUAAGGAUCAUGAGUUAUAGUGGUGAUGCUGGGUGAAUUCACAGACAAAAUAGCCUCAAAGGUUGCUAUUUGACAGAGAUUGAGAUGCACUGUAAAAACAAAUUCCACCAAUUACCCUCUUGGAUUUCAACACCUGACAAGGCUUUCACCCGAAGAAGUGCUCUAAGCUUGGUAAGAAAGAGAAUCUCUUCAACCGGAGCAAUUUUCGCAUUAAAAGUAAAAUCGUUACGCGCCUAUAUCGACCAUAACGCCGCUGCACAACAGAGGAGCCACCACUGCUUAAUAUCAUCUUUAAUUUUAUUUUUCAUAGAAGUUUGGCUUUAAAGCUAAUGUCAAAUGGAUUUAUGGAUGGUAUUUAAUUAUAAAUUAGACAAGGCUUGAGGGGUGGUUUUAAUUUAUAAAUUUAGGAAGCUUUAAAUGUAAUUUAUAUGGUAAUUAUUAUAAUGCAACGAUUAAAGAAAGAAAAGUUUGUGCAGAAUUUUCAAAAUUGGAUGGCGCUGGAAUUAUAAGUUGCAAUGAAUAAAAGAAAGAAAAAGUUGUGCAGAACUUUCACCAUAUUCACUAAAUUAUACUGCUUGCCCCUCCUUUUCUUUUCAAAUAUUUAUUUAUUUUUGGUGACGGGUUCAUGCUUUUAAUUUCUUUAUUACUAUGAUUACGAAUCAAACUUUAUUUUAAUAUUUGUGGUGUUUUAUAAGUUGUUACAGGGAGAUGUUUUAUUGGGAUCAAUUACAUUAAAGAUCACUAAAUUAUUAAUAAGUUUAUAUUUUGGUCAUUGAAUUUUAAAAAGUUAUUAAAUAAUCGCUAAAUUAUUUAAAUUUUUUUAUUUAAGUCACUGAAUUAUCCAAAAAAAUUUAUUAAAAUUAGUUAUUCGUUACAUUUUUUUAUUUUUCUUUUAAAUAUACAUAUAUUUAUUAGGAAAGGGUCAAAGGUUUUGAUUUGUUUAUUAUUAGGGAUAAAUGUCAAAUUUAUAUAUGAACUUUGGUUCAAAGUGCAAUUUGAUACAUGCAUGAAUUUUGACUUGGUGCAAUUAUCCACAUGAAAUUUAAAUUGUGGUUCAUAUAUAUACAUGAAAUUUAAUUUUGAUUCAAUUGAACGCAUUUAAAGAAAUGAAUACAUAUAAUUAUUUUCACAUUGAAUAAAAGUUCAUGUCUUCUGUUAUUAUCAUGGGUGAUACAUGGAUUUAAAGGAGCUCAUGUGUUCAUAGCGAUGAACUAUUAUUGAGUGUUGAUUUUCACUUACCGUAGUUAAAGUGAGUUGGGAGAGAGUUUACUUAAUUGUAUAAUAGUGAGGUUGCACCAAGUUAGGCUUGAAUAAUUUUAUUGUAUUGUGAAGUUUAUAGUGGAUUCAUCUGACAGAUGUAGGACGAGUUUCAAACUACACAAUCAUCUUGGUUGUGCUCUUUAUUUUGCUUGUUGCAUGUGUCAACUCAAAAAUUAAUUUUUGUUUUUCAAAAAAUUUAAACUUAUAAUUAUAUCAAUAGUCUCCAUUAAAAUUUAUCUAUCAAAUUAAAUAAACAACUCAAAAAUUAACUUGUCUGCACAUAAUUAUAGAUAUUAAACUUUUUUAACUUUUUGAAUUUUUAAUGAUUUUUGUCUCCAUUAUUGUAAAAAUUUAAAUUAAUUCCCAAAUAUGUAAUGCUUGUGAUUAUUUUUGGUUGGGGAUCGACCCGAUUAAGCAACGAACAAGUAAAAAUAACGGAAGAAUUGAGAAAUUGAACACACAAAUUUAACAUGAAAAAACUCUCUGAAGAAGAUAAAAAAAUUACAGGCAAAGAUAAUUUUAUUAUAAUGGCCAAAGAAAGAAAAUUACAAAAGAUAGAGAUAAAAAAAACAAAUAAUUUUACUAUAUUUAGAGUAUAAAUACACAAGGUUGAAAUGAAGCAAUGGUGGAGUAGGAAGGCAGUGUUAUUAAAUACUAAAUAAUUGUUUUGUGAAAAGGGGAUAUUUUUACUUUUUUAUCCAUUACAUAUCACUGUUCCUGUCUUCCUUUCCAUGUUUUUGUAAAAACCAGAUUCCCACCAUUCUUUUCUCUUUGGUAAAUGUUGAUUGCUGAGAGGACAAUCUUUUUGCACAUUCCCGAACUCUAUGGACAUGAUUUUUUGCAUCUCAAUCAAAGGUUUGAAAAUCCCAUUCAAAGCUGCAAAGUUGAAAUUAUGUUUAGGAUUUUAUUUUACUUCCGAAUGGUAUCCAAGUAUUGAACUUUCAUGUUCGUAUUAUGGACACGAAUAGUCCAUCACAUCAAUCAAUGUUGCGGAUAUAAAGAAUACUUAAUUAUGGUAAAUAAGAAUCUAUUUGUACAAUUAAACAAAAACAGGGAAAAAGAGAAACUUAAUUAAAUAGGAGAAAAUAUCUUGAAAAGGCUAGUCAAGUAGUUUACCACAAUUACUGCUUCUUCUCUGAACGACCCAUUAUAAAAUUGAAUUUUGUUUUCAUCUGUUUAGGUCCUCUGUUUCCUCGUGGAUAUUACGUUUUCGUUUUACAGGGGAAGUGCUACCUGCGGAUCCAUCCUUGUCAGUAGAGUGAUGAUGGAUGUGCUCAAAGUUUAGAGAAGAUUGAGUGGUAUGUCACUGCAAAUCUUUCUCAUAGAUUAUUCUAACACCACACUUCUUCACCUUGAAAGAAGGAAAACCAUCUGCGCCUUUGAAAGACAUCUCAAGCUUAUCGCAUUCAUGAUCAGAGCAAUCCAUUGUCCAUGCAUAUUGUAAUUCACGAGAGAAAUAACGAAGAAAAAGGUGGUUGUUCGUUAUGGGCUGCUCCUAUUCCCCACCUAAACCAAUGAAACUGGGAUCGACCGUUCGAGGAUGUUUAACUUGAAAAACAGAUCCAUUAUGACUAGAUUAUCGGGAAUUUCUAUAAUGGAUAUAAGUUAUACUACCGAUAACCCUUUCAUCGGAAAAUGCAGCAGAAAGCAACUCCAAUCCAAUUUGUUUGGUAUAUGUGAAACGUUUUGUGAGUUUGUUUUUUAAAAUAAAGGUAAAUUUUAACAAUUAUUUUUUAAUCAUUAUUAGUAAUAUAAUUGAAAUCACAUGCAAUAUAUGUGACAUUAGAAAGUAGUGAUUAUGAAAAAUUGGAAUGUGCAAUACUCUUGAUGUGUUUAGAAAAGGUUAUAGUUAUAGAAAAAAUUAUAUAACCAUCAUGGCAUUGGUUGAAUUUGUUAACUUAAAUGUUUUAGAAAUCCAAUGUUUUAGAUUUUAAUCUCAAUUUUUUAUGAAAAGAUAAAAAAAAAAUUACUAUAAUAAUAUUUGUUACUUUUAAAAGUAGUAAGUUUUUUAGUCAUUUUUUAAAUAAGUUAAUAUCUAAUUGACUUAUGACUGAUAAAUAAAGUAUAAUAUAAAGUAUGUUUGGUUAAAAAUAAAAUUAGAUGAAAAUGAUAUAUAUUUAAAUAUAGAAUAAAUUAAAUUUUAUAUAAUGUAAGUUAUUAAUAUAGUAAAAUUGGAAAUAAUUUAAAGAUAAUUAUUAUAUUAGAAAAUAUAGGCAUUAAAGUUGAGGCAUUUUAAGAAAUUUACCAAAUUUUAUAUAAUGUAAAUCAUAAAAACUGUUCCUUAAUACCACCGCGCACGAUUAGCGCUGUUGGAACCGUUAGUCCCCUGCUUUAACUUUACCUCCAUAACAUGCCGAGACCAUGAAAGGCACUCAUUCCUUAAUACCAUAUAUAGUUCCUGCAACGCCACUACUGAUAACAAAGGCAUUUCUAUUUUACCAAAGUUUCUAGCAGCCAUAGCAAAAAGAGUACCCCAAUCAGUUCCUUCCACAGAAAAAGUUCUUUGAGCUCCAGAGAAACUCAAUGCUCUCCCAUUUCCUAGCGCCCAAUGGACACCAUUUACUACAUCUUCCAAAAUAUUGGACAAAACCCUCCAGAGAAGCGAGCAAUUAGAAGGAUGUAUUGAAGCCGACCAUCUACUUAUUACCCCAUACUCGUUUCCAAGGACUUCAACCCAUAGCACAUUCACGUUAGAAAUGACAUUAAAAGCUACCUUAAUCAUGCAAGCUUUGUUGUGGUCUCGUACUUUCCUCAACCUAACUCUACCAUUCUUCAAAGGCAUACAAAAUUUAUACCAGCUCACUAAUGUUGGUUUCCGAUUGCCAAAUGUUGACCCCAAAUGAAUCCUCGAACCAGCUUCUCAUUUUUGUUGCAAUUGCUUAAGUGAUCACCUAAAACAAGACCGUACAAAGAUUGAUCGGUCUAAAAUGAGAUAGUAAUUCCUGUCUUGCCACCUUGGGAACCAACACAAUAAGAGUUUGAUUCAAAAUAGAAGCAAACAUUUGAUAAUUUCAUUCUAUUGGUUUUUAAUUUGAAUAGUUCAUUCAUUUAAAACAAUCAUAAUUGUGCAUCAAUUAUGAAAGAAGUCACAAGAAAAUUGUGCAGUAAUCAAAUGCAAUUUUCUUCACUUUUAUCACGUCUUUGAGUUGGAGGAAAAGAUGGUCCAAUUGAGAUAUACUUGAAAAGUUUAAUGAUGAAUGAAAUGAAUUCACUAUUAUGUUAUGUCAACACUGUUAAAUUAAUAGUUCAAUCAGCAUUUUGCGUUAAAAAAUUCAUAAUUUGACUCAAUAAAAUGUUGAGAGCCAAAUUACUAAGAGGAAAUGAAUACGGGUCAACUUGUCAAAUUUUAUAAACACUAAGAACUUUUUUUUUUAUCAUUAUGCCUAAUUUUAAAGGUUUUAUUUACAUUACAAUUAAAUUACUAUUUGAAUUUACAUUUUAAAAACAACGUUCAUUUCAAUAUGUAUAAUUUACAUUACAUUACAUGAUAAAAACAACUAAUUAUAUUUUGCUAAUUCCCUAAAUUCGUCCAACUUGAUGACUUUUGUUGGUCCCUCACUUGCAUGAUCCUUUGAGCAGACUUUCAUGCUUCUAUUGGUCUAGGGGACAAACAUAAAACACCAUCAUUAUUUUUGUUGCAUUGAGAUCAUCUAUAUUAAUUUACCUCAAAUUGAGAAAUUUUUGUUGAUAUCACAUAAAUACAAUCAUUGAAAAUCUUACUCGUAUCGACCAAAAAUCAUAUUUUUAUUUCUCUAAACAAUAAGUACAUUAGACAAUAACAAAAAUGAAAUUAUUGAAUUUUGAAAAAAAAAUAUUGGAUAUGAAAAUGUCUCUCACAUGGGAAAGAUUUUCCAAAUAAUUAAAAGAGCAUACUUUUUUUUUUAAUAUUUGAACAAGUGUUAAAAAUAAACGUCUAAACUUAAAUACUUUGUAAAAAAUAUAAAUUGAAGAGUUAGAAUAAUAUUGUUUAUACUUCAAGCCAUGAAAUUUAAAUGGUACUUUUGUUAGAAGGAAUUAAACCUACUAUUAAGGACUUAUAUUUAAUCUUCCAAAUAUAUAAGAAAACAAUUUUGACUGAUUAAAUUGAACACAUAAAUUGAUUUCAAAUAAAAAUAAAAUUGUUUUUAACUCAGCCGAAAUUAUGAUCUAAUCCUCAUUAAAGGAUUUUCACCUUAUUAUUACAACCUAAAAAUAAAAUAUAGAUGUAAGUGAAUUUAUAUAAUGAGAAUAAAGUUUUAAUAAAUAAAAAAAUAAACCAAUCAAAAUGUACACAUUUCAAUUAUGUAAAAAGGAAUGAAUUAAGUGAAUAAAAUUUUAAAUGGUAUUUUUUAAAAAAAAAUUAGUAUAUAAUAAAAUGGUCAUAUCUCAUAUGCAAAUAAGUCUAGAAUGAUUACUUUAAAUGAAAUAAAAGAUGUAAACAAGGUAGAUGAGUAAAAAAAAAUUUAGUAGGACAAGGUUGGUUAAGUAAUUUACCAUAGUUAAUGCGUCUUCCCGGAUUGGCCAAUUAUAAAAAAUUGAAAAAAAGUUGCAUCCGUUUUGGUUGCGGCCCUUCUUCCUCCUCUUCAUCGUAGAUAUUAGGUUUCUAUUUUAUGUGAGAAGUGCUACCUACUGAUCCAUGGUUGUGAGCAGAGUGUUGGUGGAUGUGUUCAAAAUUUGGAGAAGAUUGAGUGGUACGGCACUGCAACUCUUUUAUCUCUUCCAAAUCUUUCUCAUACACUAUUCUAAAGCCACACUUCUUCACUUUACCACUGCAUCCCAUGAAAGACACCUCAAGCUCAUCGCAUUUUUUAUCUAAGCAAUGUGUUGUCCAUAAAUUAGUGGUUUCACAGUCGUCAUAUUUAUCCUCCAAGGAAGGAUAUAUUGUAUCACGCGACCAAUAACGAAGUAAAAGGUGAUCUUUCAUUAUUGGUUCACACAGCCCCCAGCCUCUCCAAUCAAUCCGUCGAUAAUUUCUACCUCGAAAGAUAGAUCCAUUACAGCUGGCUUGUUCAGAAUUUCUACAAUAGAUAUAUGCUCCACAACCGAUAUAUUCGUCAUCCCUUGAAGCAUCAUUACUGACAAAAACGCAGCAGCAAGCAACUCCAAUCCAUUGACUAUCUUUCUGAAGGUUGAUAGGCAGGGGUAUGUUAAUUGAAAUGGCACUUGUUUGUUGGCUAAACCAUUCUGGGAUUUCACUUCCGGGCAUAAUAAUAUCAAACUUUUUUCUUGAAUUUGCGAAUGCCUGCAAAAUAAAACACAAGUCGUUUGGUAACUAAAACCAUAAAUUCUCAAGUACGUAUGAGAUUUUGUAAGGGAGAAAAUGGAGAUUAAUCGACCUUAAGCUGUUUUCUCAGCACUGUUAAUGCAUUCAUAUUCUCGGCCAAUUUGAAGCAGUUAAUGGCUCUAAAGGCACCCGAACCUAUUAAAUUGCAUACUUCACGUAGUGUUAAUGCAUUGAUAUUCUCAGCCAAUUUGAAGCAGUUAAUGGCUCUAACGGCAGCCGAAUCCACUAAAUUGCAUACUUCAAGUGAAGAACAACCAUCUAGACACACGUGUCCUAACCUUGUCGGUAUCUCAGGCAACGAUUUAAGCAUCUUGCAAUAUGACAGUCCAAGAAACUGAAGCUCGGAUAUUCGAGUAAGAGAUGAAGGUAUGCUGAUGAAAUUGUUACCACUAAGACCAAGAUGUACCAAAGAGGAUAGACCAGAAAUAUAACUAUGAAUAUCUGAUUCACCAAGAGUGCACAUGUUGCAAUUUGACAAGUCAAGAAACCCAAGCUUCGAGAGUCCAGUAAGAGAUGCAGGUAUGCUGAUGAAAUUGUUACCACGAAGAUCAAGAUGUUUCAAAGAGGACAGGCCAGAAAUAUCACGUGGAAUAUCUCCUUCACAAAGAUUGCAGUCCCUUAGACUUAGCCGUCUUAAUGAACUCAAACCUGACAACAAAGGCAACAUUGGAGCCAUGGGAGUUGUCCUUCUUUCUUGGAUUACCUUGAAAAGAGAAGACAAAUUUGGUCGCAACUUUGCUUGCUGCAAAUUCUCCGAGAAAUUUUCAACUCUAUAACAACCAGAAAGCUCUAGAGUUUUUAUACGUUCCAUUUUCCCAUCAAUCUCCGGAAACCUUACAAGACUUGAGCAACCCGAAAAAAUUAAAGUUUCAAGAGAUUCCAUUCUAAUUUUUCCCGGAAGACUCCUAAGACUUUUGCAAUCUCUUAAAUUCAAAUGUUUAAGGCUCUUAAGCACUCCUAUUGAUGGAUGAACAUCCACUAAUUUGGUACAGCCUUCCAAAAUUAAAACUUCAAGAUUUGAUGCUGUUGUGAAGUCUGGUGUCUUGAUCAGGUCUUGGGAACCUUUGAGGUUCAUUAUUUUCAACUUAUACAAGGGCUGUUGAAGACAAUAAUAAAUUAGAGAGAAAAGAGAAAGCAUAAUAAUUCUCAUUUUUGUUUUUGUAUUUUUACCUUAAUCAGAGUUUAAUAAUUUAUAUUAAAAUAAGCUAAAACACAAGGAUAAGAUGAGUUAAUUCUUACUCUAUUUCCCUUCCAUAGUUGUUUAAUGUGACUAUAUGGUAAAAGAAGUGCAACAAGGUUGUCUGGUUGGAAGCUUGAAGGCAAGCAUCUUAAAGGAUAUCCUGUCCAUUCUAAAAGCCGUAGUUUAUUAGAAAGAUAUUUGAGAUCAUCACAAUUUGAUAGGCAAAGCACUUUGAGCAUUCUCAAGUUUUUCAUCUUUGAGAAGGUAUCGACACUCAAAUUGAGCAUCUUGCUCGAUUCCCUAAUAACCAUGAGUAAAACAAAAAUGAGAUUCAAAAUAUACAAAGACAUUCAAUAUCUAAAAGUUAUGUUGCACCGAUAGAUGAUAAAUUUCAUUUGUAAUUAAAAAAAAUCAUUCCAAAUUGGAAUGAGAAGGAAGACAAUGGGAGAGAUUUUUUAUUUUCAAAUGUUUUAUUUUCUUUCCUUCUCACUUUUCGCUAUACCAAGCAAUAGUGAGGAGGAAAAUAUAUUUUCCAUUCAAUUUUCCAUCUUUCCAGUCAAGUUUUCCAUCCCCUCAGUUUUCCACCCUUCUGAUUUUAUUUCCACUCUGCCAAGCAAAGCCAAAAGGUUUUUUGUUGUUGUUUUUUAUUGGAAUUUUUACAACAAAUAAUAACAAUAUUAAUAGUACAUAUUGAUAAAUUUAUAUGUAUGUUUUCUUACCUUUUAUUGUCGAUGAUCAUACCUAUGUUUUCUUACCUUUUAUUGUCGAUGAUCAUACCUUCAAUCACUUCGGUAGCCUAAAAGUAAUCAAAAAUAGACAAUAAGAAUACAAAAUAAAUUAUCUAAAUUGUACAAUAAAACUUUUGAAAUUUACAUAUAUGUUCAACAUUAUCACAAUCUUUUGGUCGAAAUAUAGGAAAUAAAAUAUUUUCAAAUGAGAGUAAUUCAAUAAAAUUAAACACUUAUAUUACAAAUCAUUAUUAAUAUUUAUAAUCAACAAAUGGAAAUUAUUUUAAAGCCACUCAAUGUUAGUUAAGGAUCGAUAUCUAAACCAAUUAGACUAAGCUUUGGAUUUACAUCAUAUAUUGAUAAAAAGAAAAUUUUGUAUAUAUUUUUGUUGAAUAAUUUACCGUGUUUUUUGUUAGGACAUGAUGAACAUCCCUUUCUUUCCACAAUCUACAACGCUUUCCAGGUUCAUCAACACAUUUUUCUUCAACAAUUUUUCUUCCCAUUUCUUGCAACAAGGCAUGCAUCCGCAAAUGUUGGUUGUCAUCACUAACUUUUAUGAGAGAUUUCUUAAUGAGAAUAUCGAUUCCAAUGUCUGGAAAAAACUCACAACCAUCCAAUACUUUCAUUACCAAAUCUCUCUUCUCACCAUUGAAAAAGCAUGCUAUAUCUAGAAAUAUAUUCUUCUCCUUUUCUUCCAAUCCAUCAAAGCUAAUUCUUAGCGCGUUAAGAAUUUCUUUGUUAGAAUCUUCUUUAAGUCUUUCGAUUGCACUUCUCCAUUGAACUAUAUCUCUAUCGCACAAAAAUGAACCCAAAACUUCAAGAGCUAAGGGGAGACCACCAGCAUAACAUACAACAUGUCCAGAAAGCUCAAUGAAAUCAUCUUUUGGCACUGUAUCACUAUGGAAAGCUUUCAAAUUGAAAAGUCUAAGUGCAUCGUCUGGAUUCAAUGUUUUAGGCUUAUACACACCAUCGACUCCGUAAGAUCGGAGUAAAUGCUCAUCUCUUGUUGUUACAAUGAUUCGACUCCCUAAACCAAACCAAUCACGCCUUCCAACCAAGCAUUUCAAGUGUUGUACAUUAUCAACAUCAUCAAGAACAACAAGAACCUUUUCACUAGACAACCUGCGGCUAAUUAUGGCAUUCCCUUCAUGAACAUUGAAAAAAUUGAAGCAUUCAUUUGGCAAGAUUUGAGAAAGAAGUUGUUUCUGUAAAGGAACAAGUCCGCAUUUGUUUGAAACUUCUCGAAUAUCAGCAAGAAAGCUUUUGCCUUCAAAAUGAGGUGACAUUUGAGUGUAAACAACCCUCGCAAGAGUUGUUUUACCGAUGCCACCCAUUCCGCAAAUUCCUAUAAUGCGGACAUCAUCUUCCCCUAUGUUUAUUUUCGAAUACAACUCCUUCAAAGGUAAGCUAAUUCCAACCAAUUCAUCAUGAACAAUUGGAUAUGUCUGACAUAAUUUGGCUGAUAUCUUCCUAACAAUGUCUCCGAUAAACUCUGGUUCAUUCCUACAAUGAAAUAAAAAAUUGUUUCUAUCUCUCAGAGGCUCUUUUUCAUUUUUAGUUCAAUGAAUCAUGAAAUAUAAUAUAGUUGGAAGCAAAGAAAAAGCAAGAAUAAGACAGUAAGAUAUAUUAUGGCAUCAAAAUACACAACUUUCUCGUUAGAAUUCUUAAUUAAACACAAAAUUAUAAAAAAUUACAUGCAAUCUAGAAAAAAACAAUUUUUUAGUCAUUAAAAUUAGGAAAUAGAGAAGAAAUGAAAGAAUCAUUCCUUAUGUAAAUGCCAUCCUUAAUCUUAAAACUUCAGUCAAAGCAUUUCGCCACUUUUGGAUCUUGUCUUUAUCUUCCUUGUACCUCUCUUCAUGUUUGGCAAAGGCUUCUUCUACUUUUUCUUUUUGGUUUCUUAAAUCGGAUGGAUCCACAUGGUAGAAAAUUGGAAAUACUUUAUGUCCGUUAGCAUUUUUUUGUUGAACAAUCUCAGCAAGCUCCUCCAAGCACCAUCCUGAAAGGGCAUAGGUUUUUGAGAAAAUAAUUACCGAGCACCAUGAUUGCUGAAUUGCUUUGGAGAGUUCGGGUGCGAUCUCUUCGCCAGCCUCCAGCUUUGGAUCGUCCCUGAAGGUGACGAUCCCACUACUCUUUAGAGCAUCAUACAGAUGACCCGUGAAGUUCUUGCGAGUAUCUUCACCUCUAAAACUCAAGAAAACAUCAUAUUUCUUUCUAGAAAUGGGCGAAGAAGUCGAAGGUAACGACAGCAUGAGGAUGUAUGAAAGGAGAAGAAUAUCUCUAUCUGGUGUUCAAAAUCAGAAAAUAGAUCGCCCGAUACUCCCAAAGAAACUAGAAAAAGUAAGUAUAUGAGCAUAGGGGCGGAAAUUAGGGGUCAAAGAUGAGUGAUGGAUGUUCUUUCCAAGAAGAAUCCAAGAAGGUGAGAGUUGGCACAGUGGAGGCUAUUAAAAAUGUUGGACGGUUUGUAUUUUACAUAUUUAAUAAUUAUAGAGUAGAUAAGAUUAUGACAAUAAUAAUUAGAAUAUAUCUUUAAUAAUUAUCCUUCGUUAUGGGCUGGUUAAAAAGUUUACCAAACAACCAACUACUCGCAUCGACACGUGGAAAACUUCUAUCUCGAAAGACAGAUCCAUUUCGACUGGCUUGUCCAGAAUUUCUGCAAUGGAAGCAUCAUCACUGACAAAAAUGAGACAGGAAGCAACUCCAACCCGUUGACCAUUCUGAAUAUUGAGUGGUAGAGGUAUCUAAUUGUAGAGCCACCACUCUGUUGGCUAAACCAUUCUGGGAUUUCACAUCCAGGUACAAUAACAUCAAACAUUUGUCUUGAAUUUGCAAAUGCCUGCAAAAUGAAACUUCUGUCGCUUGGUAAAUAAAACCAGAAAUUCCCAAGUAUGAGAGGGAAAGAAAGAGAGAUUAAUUAAACUUGAGAUGUAUUUUCAACAAUGUUAAUGCAUUGAUGUUCUCAGCCAAUCUGUAGCAGUUAAUGGCUUUAAUGGAAGCUAAAUCCAAUAAAUUUCAUACUUUUGAUGGACUUGCAACUACUUCAAGUGAAGCACAACCAUCUAUGCACACUCUUGCUAUACUUGUUAGAAGCUCAGGCAACGAUUUAAGCUCAUUGCAAUUUCAUAACAUAAGCUCUUUGAGUAAGAGACGCAAGUAUGCUGAUGAAAUUGUUACCACUAAGAUCAAGAUCUGUCAAGGAGGAUAGGCAAGAAAUAUCACUAGGAAUAUCUCCUUCACGAAGAUUGCAGUCCCUUAGCUUUAACUCUCUUAAUGAACUCAAACUUGACAACGAAGGCAACGUUAGAGGCAUAAAACUUGUCCUUCCUUUUUGGGUUUCCUUGAAAGGAGAAGGAAGAUUUUGUUGUAACUUUGAUGGUCCCUUGCAUCCAUUGAAAGACAGAGCUUUAAGAUUUUUCAAUUGAAAAAUUAAGGAUGGUGGUUCUCUUAUGCUUGUUUUAGCUCUUCCAAAUAUUCUACUUGCUUCAUAUUCUCUGGCAAAUUUUUAACUUCACAACAACUAGAAAGAUUAAGAGUUUUUAGACCACCUAUUUUCCCUUCGAUCUCCAAAAACCUUACAAGAUUUGAGCAACCCAAAAGAAUUAUUGUUUCAAGAGAUUCCAUUCCAAUUUUGGUUGGAAGACUCCUAAGACUUUUGCACCCUCUUAAAUUCAAAAGUUUAAGCCUCCUAAGUACUCCCAAGGAUGGAUGACUUCUACAAUUCUUGUACAACCUUCCAAAACCAGAAUUUCAAGAUUUGGGGCCAUUGUGAAGUCCGGUGUCUUGAUUAGGUUUAGGGACACUUCAAGGUUGAUCACUUUCAACUUAUACAUAGGCUGUGAAAAACAAUAAUAAAUUAGAGAGAAAAGAGAAAAAAUAAGAAAACUUAUUUUUGUUGUUUAUUUUUUAUCUUAAGCUAAAAAAUAAGGAUUGGGUGAAUUAAUUUUACUCUAUUUCCCUUCCAUAAUUGUUCAAUGCUAUUGAAUGGUAAGAGAAGUGCAACAAGGUGGUCCGGUUGGAAGCUUAAAGACAAGGAUCCUAAAGGAUAUCCUAUGUAAUCUAAAAAUAGUUUUUCCAUUGAAAGAUAUUUGAAAUCAUCACAAUUUGAAGGCCAAAAGACUUUGAGUAAUUUCAACUCUUUUAUUUUCGAGAAGACAUCAACAUUCAAAUUAAGUGUCUUGAUCGAUUCUCUAAUAACCAUGGACAAAACAAAAAACUUAGCUUCAAAAUAUACAAAAGCAUUAAUACCUAAAAACCAUGUUGCCACGAUACUUUUUUUAAGUAUCCUAUAAGGUAUAUCUAAAUAUGGGCAUUAAGAUAUGACUCUUCAAGAAUUCUUUAAUACAUGAAAAAAUCUUUUGAAAAAUGAACAUACCCAUUUUGAACAGUUAACACGCACAAUUGACUCCGAAUUACCUAAACCUAAAAGUAUUAGAACUAAAAUUUUCAAUUAUAUUUGGUGCACUCGUAAUAUAUAAUUUUAUGCAUUAUUAGUGAACUAAAUGGAGACGCAUAAUUAAGGAUGAAAUUACUUGAAUUUAUUUUAAUAAAAUUUAAUGACAUGUUAUAAUCUAGUUUAUAUAUUGUCAAUUUAUCAAAUAUAAACUUUUAUUUUUCAUAAAAAAGAAACAUCUCUCUCUAUUUUUAUUUUUUUUAGAAAGAAUAAUGUGUUACUUGAUAAAUUCAUAAAUUAGCAUUCAAAUAUUAAGUACUAAGUGUUUUUUUUUUCACUAUAUAUUUUUUACAAAAUAAAACUAAAUAAUAACAAUAUUAAUAAUACACAUCGAUAAAAGUAGAUAUAUACUUUCCUACCUUUUAUUGUCGAUGAUCAUGCCUUCAAUCAAUAAAUAGGUUUUUUCUCAAAGCUAGUGAAUAUCACUUUUUAGGGAUUGUUAUAUAGAUGAAUUAGAAUAAACUUUAAGUUUAUAUUAUAUAUUGGUUAGAGAUCCAAUAAAAAAAAUUAGUAUGUAAAUUUUGUGGAAUGGCUUACACUGUUUUUUGUUAAGACACAAUGGAUGUCCCUUUUUUCUCACAAUUUGUAAUGUUUUUUCGGUUCAUCAACAUAUUUUUCUCUAUUAAUUUUUCUUCCCAUUUCUUGCAACAAGUCAUGCAUCCAAAAAUAUAUGUGUGUUCAUUGAAGAUCUUUCUCUUCUCCAUUGAAGAAACAUGCUAUAUCUAGAAAUAUAUUAUUCUCCCUAAUUUCUUCCAAUCUAUCAAAGCUUAUUUGACGUCUAUUGAGAAAUUCCUUAUUAGAAUCUAGUUUAAGUCUUUCGAUUCCACUUCUCCACUGAAAAGCAUCUCUACUGCACAAAAAAGAACCCAAAACUUCAAGAGUUAAGGGGAGACCACUAGCAUAAUGUACAGCAAGUUUAGAAAGGACAAAAUUGUAACAAUUUGGACUAAUUUGAAUAAAAUUAAGAACAUAGAUAGUGAUGCUCCAAAGGGAAUAUUAAGAUAAAGUGAGACCGAAAGGUAAUCUUGUCGUGCACCUGUUCAUUAGUCCCGGAUUAACUGGUAAGAUUGGAAGAUAAACUAGACCUAAUCUGUCUAAGUUGGCAAAAUUAAGACCGGAAGAUAAAAUAGAGCCACUUGGUAAUUAUGUGAUUUAUGUCAUUGGUCCAAGAUUUGGUGAACCACAUCGAAGUCAACCAACCCCUAUUAGUCAUUUGCUAGAUUGUCCUUCUAGUUUACAUUUCUUGUAAUUUAGUCCCUAGAGUAGAAUAUUUAAUUUUCUUGUAAACUUAUCUUUUAUGAAUCACCGUAAUAUAAAAUUGUAUCAAUAGCCACUUAGCCUCUAUUGUGUACGUUAGUUAUUGCUCAAUCGCCUAUUCCUUUGGGUUGAAUCCUUAGAAUACUUUUGCAUUUCAUUAUAACACUAUAAAUAUAAAUAUUAAAACUGACCUGUACGCUUGCAGUAAAAUUGGGCUUUUAAAAUAGUUAUAUAAAUUUAGUGUUUUAAGCACACGCAUGCAACCGGUCAGUAGUCAAUCUCACCCCAUUAGCCACCAUGACAUGAAGUUGACUAAAGUGCUCCACUAAUAAAUCCAACCUCUUAACCAGCUUAGAAUCUAGAAAAUUGUGUGUACUUCUUGAGUCAACCAGGAUAAUGACAUUGGAGUGACCAAUACUUGCUAAAAACUGCAUAGAAUUAUGUCUCUAUAAGCCUUGAAGGGCGUGUAAGGAUAAAACGGGGGCAGUGUGUUUCGUUUCCUAUUCUAACACUUUCAGUUGUUCAGGACAUUCUUGGAAUUCUUCAAACAUUGGACUCUUGCUUCCACCCUCAUGAUCUGAAUAAAGUUCCAGAACCAGCUGAUAAAGUUGAGACUUGGUGCACUUAUGACCUGGGGUGUAUUUGGAUGCACACCGAAAGCAAAGUCCCUUCUUUCUUCUCUCUUCUAUUUCAGCUUGAGAAAAGGGUUUGGUUUGGAAUUUUUACCCCGAGUUACUAUUUGGAGGUCCAUUUAGCCUUAUCGAGUUACAGUGGUGAUAUUGCACCUUGGGACCAAGAAUUAGGGGGCUAAGGUGACUUAUUCCCCCACUUACAUUCAAACUCUUCUUUGUGAACUUAGCCACAAUGCGUUCAACCUAUCGAGCUAUUUGAUAGUCUUCCACCAGUGUUUGAGCCUUGAACAACCGUAGAUACUACCCCAUCUCAGGUUUAAGAUUGCAAGUGAAAACACUAAGGACGUAAUCCUCAGUUAGAUGUAACUGAUUAAGCAAACUUACAAAACGGUCAUGGAAUUGGUCCAUUGACCCUUUCUCCUUGAGUGAAAUAUGUCCUAACAUGGGGUCUAAGAAGGAGUUAGAUCUAAAACGAUCCCUCAGCCCUCGAACAUAUAUCUCCCAAGUCAGGUGAUGUAAUCCCCCUGUCAUUGCACAAAAGUGAUGCCAAUCUAGGCCUUUACCUUCUAAGUGCAACAUUACCAUUCUAACAUUGGUCUACUUUAUUAUAUUUGCAGCUUCAAAGAAUCGUUCUAACUUGGACCACCAAUCUUGAUAAUCUGUCCCAUCAAAUCAUGGGCAUUCUAGCCGAAGAGUUUUACUGACAAAGUCCACAAGACCAACUUGAGAAAAAGUAUUCAUGUUUUCCAAAUCCGACACAGGUGAUAAUGUAAGUGGCUUUUUGGAAGGGAACUUAGGAGGAGAGCCUCCCAUAAUGCCCUUGUCUUGAACUCUUCCAGUUACACUGGUAGAAGCAUUUUGACCAAAAUAGUGUUCAAAAAGAGAGUGGAGUUCAGUUUGAAUCUCACCUUUGAUACUUUCAUGAAAAUCCUUUAACCGAGAUUCGAUCUUAGCAUCAAUCUAGCUAACCUCUAAUUGCAUCUGAGAGAGCUCGUGUUGCAGCACUCCCAUCUUUUUUUGUAACCUGGUGGUGACUCUAUCAUUUGCCAUAAAAAUCGGCUUCAGCUCUAAUACCUUUGUCAUGGGAAAAUCUUUAGGGCAGAAGAGAAAUUGGAUAGCAAGAGGAAGAAAAAGGAGUUGAGAGAAAUCAGAGAGAUAGAAGGAAAGAGAGAACUGUAUUCAUUCCAAUAGCUGCCUUCCCCUACCUUGAUUGGUGUUUUUAGGGCGGGUAACGACCCUCUCAAACAAAUUGACGGUUGUUAAUACAACUAUAGCAAAACGCACCAUUUUUUAGUAAAUGACAAAACGUCUCUAAACGCAGUCGUUUGGACCAUAUUUAACCCUCCCCCCUUAAACCUGUUGUUUCAUUAUAACAUUAAACUAAACGUUGUGUUUUACAAUAAUUAAGGCUAAAACAGAAGUAAACAGAAAUUAACAGAAAUUUAAACAUAAUUGUUGUCUUUAGUUCUAUUCCGUGACAUGCAAUCCUUUCACCGCCCUCUAGCCUCGGCUCAUCCCUAAAAGUGAUGAUUCCAUUCCUUUUUAGAGUAUCAUAAAGAUGAUCGGUGAAGUUCUUGUGAGCAUCUUCACCUUUAAAACUCAAGAAAACAUCAUAUCUAUAUCUAGAAAUGGAUGAGAAAGACAUGAGGAUGCCUGAGAAGAAAAAUAUAUCUCAAUCGAGCGUUCAAAAUCAAAACAAUAUUUCCCAUCAUUUAUUUUUCCAAAUGAAUAUGGAUAAUAAUAAUAUUAAAGCUUUUAAUCAAUUGUACAUAUCCUUUAUUAAAUUCCCAAUUUUUUUUGUAUUAAAUAUUACAAAAUCAUUCAGAUUCUCUUAAUAUGCUAAUCAAUUCUUGUUGGCUCAAAAAAAAAAAACAUUUUUGUACACGUAGACAAAUAUAUUGAAAAUUUGUCGUGAAUAUCAUGCCACCACCUCAUGAUAUUCAAUAAAUUAUUAAAUUUUGGACAGAAAAUUCACCAACCAAAGAUGAAAAAGUAAUUUUAAUUUGUAAUUCAAAUUAUUAAAUUUUAUCAGUAUUUUCUACAUUUUUCUAAUGUUUAAAGUAUUUAGGGUAUCAAAUGUGUAAUAUAUCCAUCAAAAUGUUCUGUUUUUUAAUUAUAUAAACCCCCAAAAAAAUUAAACAAAAACCAGAUAAUCCAUUCCUACAAGAUAAUCCACUCCAUUGAUUUGUGAUUUUGAGAUUUUAAUUUAAAAGAUAAAUAUCGAAAUAUAUAAUUUUUUAAAAAAUUAAAAACUGAGACCAGUAUAAAAUUAUUUAUCUCAGAUGGAAUGCUCGCUUAGGUGAUAUUUUAUUAGGAUCAGAUAAACGAUCUCAUCGAGAGAGAGAGUCAUCACAGGAUGGAUGAUUGGGAUUGGUAGACGAUGAGACUCCAUGAGUGUGGAGCCUUCCUUGAGUGGACAACGGCAGCGUUGGGUUCACACCUGCGCUUGGAGAGGACUUUGAAGCCUUCACAAAUCAUGUAAAGAAAUGAAAGAAAAUGAAGAAAAUGUUAAAAGCAUGUGCCAAACGUACCAUGAUUAGGGAAAUGAGAUACAACAUUACAAAGCAUGAGUCCAACUAAUAAAAUUAAAGCUGACUUGAAUUUUAUAGGAUGGGAUAAUUUCAUUUUCGGUCCUCUAUAAUCUGCACUAUAUGCGUAGCUCCUGAUUUUAUGUUAUGUUAUGUUAUUUAUUUAAUUCAAUCCCUACCGUUUUUUAGUUUUUUCUUAAUUAGUAUUUGUGACUCUUAACAUUAUUAUUGUAGGUAUUUAGAUAAUAUUUUUACUAUUUGUAUUUAUAAUUUAUUUUAAAUAUUAGAAGCUAUUAUUCUCUUAUCUUUAAUUACUUUUAAUAAUUUUGAACUGUUAUUAAACAAGUGCAAUCUAUUACACAUUAUAUUGUCAAAUAUAUUUCACGUGAUUAAAUUUUAUAAAAAUGAUAUGUAUAAAUUUGAAAUUUAUUUUUUCUACUUUUAUUUGUAAGAAUUUAAUUUAUUUAUUUUUAAAAUUUUAAAAUUCAGAUUUAAUUGUUAACACAAAUUUUUCCUUAAAUUUAUGUGAUAUUUUGAAAUUAAAAAAAAUACACAUUCACUUUCUAGAAAAAGUUGAAUUGGAAUUAUGGUAGAUAAAACGAAUGAAGCAUGAAGAUCACCGUGUGCCAAAUCCAACCACCUUCCUUUUCUUAUACAAAAUUUUAAAGAGUUUCACAAUGAUGCCCUCAAGAAAAGAAAGUAUACAUCAAAGGAAAAAGGAAUUGUGUAAUGAGCGAUGUCAGCUUCACCGAUUAUUUCUUCUUAUCACAUGCCAAAGCAAUUUCCUUGUACAGACUGGGAAAACUCCUGGAAUUUCGUCUAAGUUUGAACGAGGUCGAGUUUUAUAUAAUACUGGACUACCAAGUGUAUGAAGUCGACCAAACACAGAUUACUUCGUCUGUAAUAAAUAAUUAUCAUAAUGUCGUGUUUGAUAAUGCUUGUGUUGCUGCUUUUCCUCCUGGUUGUUGCAUCUUCAGAUAUCAACCAGGGCCAGUUUAGUUUCAAUGGUUACUUGAAUGUCGAGGGAGUUGCAGGCGUAGAUUCAAGUGGGCUGUUUACACUUACAAAUACCACAAGCCGAAUAAUUGGUCAGUUCUUCUACCAGAAUCCGAUCCAGUUCAAGAACUCCACAAAUGCAACUGUUUCCCCCUUCCCCACUACAUUCAUUUUUGCAAUUGUACCUGGAUACACCGACCUUGGUGGCCAUGGAUUGGCCUUCGUUAUCUCCCCUAACGAUGAAAUUUCUGGAGCUCUUCCCACCCACUAUCUCGGUCUUUUCAAGGAAACAAACAUAGGCUUAGACUCGAACCAUGUUGUAGCGAUUGAGCUGGGCACGGCCCGGACCAUUGCGGUCGGUGACAUAGACGGCAACCACGUCAGCAUCGACAUCAAUAGCCCAAGAUCAGUGACAGCUGCUUCUGCUGGGUAUUUCACUGAUGAAAGUGAGUUCAAAAAUCUCAACCUCAAGAGUGGAGAUCCAAUGCAGGUUUGGGUUGAAUACGACGGGCUCUAGAAGCAACUCGAUGUUACAUUGUACCCAAUCAAUGUAACGAAGCCAAAACCUCACUUUUAUACUUGAAAAAGGAUCUGUCUCCAUAUUUGUAUGAGUCUAUGUUUGUCGGCUUCUCGUCGUCCACCGGUGUUCUUGUAUCGUCGCACUACAUAUUGGCUAUUCUAAGGACAUGAUUUUUUUUGCAUCUCAAUCAAAGGUUUGAAAAGUUGAAUUCUUUGAGGUGCCCAUUCAUUAGACUAAGAAAGCUGAAAAGUUGAAAUUAUAUUUAUCAAAACAUAUCAUUUUUUAUUUAUAUCAAGGAUUUUAUCAUGUUAGUAUUAUGAACACGAAUAUAAUGAAUACUAAAUUAUGGUAAAUAAGAAUUUAUUUGUACGAUCAAACAAAAAAAGGGGAAAAAAUCAGAAAAGAGAAAGUUAUAAAAUUAACUAAAUAGGGGAAAAAAUAGUGAAAAGGCUAGUGAAGUAGUUUACCACAUUUAAUGCUUCUUCCCUGAUUUGGCAAUUAUAAAAUUGAAAGUUUUUUGCAUCCGUUUUGGUUGCGGCCCUUCUUCCUUCGCUUCAUCAUAGAUAUUAGGUUUCUGUUUUAUGUGAGAAGUCCUAUCUACUGAUCCAUCGUUGUGAGCAGAGUGUUGGUGGAUGUGAGAAGAUUGAGUGGUAUGUCACUGCAACUCUUUUAUUUCUUCCAAAUCUUUCUCAUACACUAUUCUAGCACCACACUUCUUCACCUUAGCAUAGUCUUCAUCAUUUGGGUUUGAGAAAAACACCUCAAACUCAUCACAUUUUUCAUCUGAGCAAUCUGUUGCCCAUAAAUUAUUGGUUUCACAAUGACCAUAUUUAUCCUCCAAUGAAAAUGGAUAUAAUUUAUCACGCGACCAAUAACGAAGAAAAAGGUGAUCUUUCAUUACGGGCCCGUUAUAUCGUUUACCUAAACACCAGCCGAGCCUAUCAACCACUCGAGGGUUUCUACCUCGAAAAAUAGAUCCAUUACAACUGGCUUCUUCAGAAUUUCUACAAUAGAUAAAUGCUCCACAACCGAUAGACUCGUCAUCCCUUGAAGCAUCAUUAUUGACAAAAAUGCAGCAACAAGCAACUCCAAUCCAUUGACUAUCUUUCGAGACGGGUAUCUUAAUUGAAGAGUCACUUCUUUGUUGGCUAAACCAUUCUGGGAUUUCACUUCCAGGCAUCAGAAUUUCAAACAUUUUUCUUGAAUUUGCGAAUGCCUGCAAAAUAAAACACAAGUCGUUUGGUAACUGAAACCAUAAAUUCUCAAGUAUGAGAUUUUGUAAGGGAGAAAAUAGAGAUUAAUCGACCUUAAGAUGUUUUUUUAGCAGUGUUAAUGCAUCGAUAUUUUCAGCCAAUUUGAAGCAGUUAAUGGCUCUAAUGAUACCCGAAUCCACUAAAUUGCAUACUUUUGAUGGACUUGCAACUACUUCAAGUGAAGAGCAAUCAUCUAUACGCACAUCUGCUAUACUUGUUAGAAGCUCUGGCAACGAUUUAAGCAUCUUGCAAUUUGAUAAUGCAAGGAAAUCAAGCCUGCUAAGUUGAGUAAGAGCCAAAGGAAUGGUGAUGAAAUUGUUACCCGUAAGAUAAAGAUAACUCAAAGAGGAUAGACCAUGAAUAUCUGCUUCACCAAGUGUGCACAUGUUGCAAUAUGACAAAUCAAGAAACCGAAGCUUCGAGAGCCCAGUAAGAGAUGCAGGUAUGCUGGUGAAAUUGUUACCACCAAGAUCAAGAUGUUUCAAGGAGGAUAGACUAGAAAUAUCACGUGGAAUAUCUCCUUCACAAAGAUUGCAGUCUCUUAGUUUUAGCUUUCUUAAUGAACUCAAACCAAACAGCGAAGGCAACAUCUGAGGCAUGGGAUUCUUCCUUCUUCCUACGAUUACCUUGAAAAGAGAAGACAAAUUUGGUCGUAACUUUGCUUGCUGCAAAUUCUCUGACAAAUUUUCAACUCUAUAACAACCAGAAAGAUCUAGAGUUUUUAGACGUUCCAUUUUUCUAUCAAUCCCCGGAAACCUUACAAGACUUGAGCAACCCGAAAGAAUUAAUGUUUCAAGAGAUUCCAUUCCAAUUUUGGUUGGAAGAUUCCUAAGACUUUUGCAAUCUCUUAAAUUCAAAAGUUUAAGGCUGUUAAGCACUCCGAUUGAUGGAUGAACAUCCACUAAUUUGGUACAACCUUCCAAAAUCAAAACUUCAAGAUUUGAUGCUGUUGUAAAGUCUGGUAUCUUGAUCAGGUUUUGGGACCCUUUGAGGUUCAUUAUUUUCAACUUAUACAAGGGCUGUUGAAGACCAUAAAUAAUUAGACAGAAAACAUAAUAAUGCUAAUUUUUGUAUUCUUUACCUUAACCAAAGUUUAAUCAUUUAUAUUAAAAUAAGCUAAAACGAUGAGUUAAUUCUUACUCUAUUUCCCUUCCAUAGUUGUUCAAUGUGACUAUAUGGUAAAAGAAGUGCGACAAGGUUGUCCGGUUGAAAGCUUGAAAGCUUGAAGGCAAGUAUCUUAAAGGAUAUCCUGUCCAAUCUAAAAGUCGUAGUUCAUUAGAAAGAUAUUUGAUAUCAUCACAAUUUGAGACACAAAGCACUUUGAGCAAUCUCAAUUCUUUCAUCUUCGAGAAGGUGUCGAUACUCAAAUUGAGCAUCUUACUUGAUUCCCUAAUAACCACGAGCAAAACAAAAAUAAGCUUCAGAAUAUACAAAAACAUUCAAUAUCUAAAAGCCAUGCUGGAUCGAUAUUGUUUUUUUAAGUAUCCAUAUCUAGCACUUAUAUCUAUUGCAUAUCUGAAUAUGGUAUUGAGAUAUGAUUAACAUAUUAGAACACUUAUAUUCGACCUUUAAUUACCUAAGCUUAAAAAAUCUAGAACUAAUAUUUUGAUUUAUGUUUGGUGCACUGAUGUAUAGUUCUAUACAUUCCCAGUGAACCAAAUGGUGGCAUGACCUAAAUUUAUUUUUAAAAACUUAUAAUGACAUGUUAUAACCUAGUUCAUUGAUAUAGAUUUUCAUUACAUCAAAUAUAAACCAUUAACAUUAGCAAAGACGAUGACACACAUCUCUUUAUAAUUUCUUUUGAAAGAGUAAUGUGUUUCUAUAUAAAUUUUAUAAAUAGAACAUAAAAAAGUAAGCUUUAAGGGUGUACUUGGUUGAGUGGAAAAGUCAAGGGAUAUGAGGAUGAAUUGUCCUUAGUAAAGAAGAAAAGUGAGAAGAAAAAAAAGGGGGAGAAAUAAAUAUUUUAUACUAGUGAGAAGGGAAAUGUAUUAUCUUUCAACUUUCUGUUUACUCUACCAAGCAAAGUCAAAAGGUCUUUUUCUUGUUAUUUUUUAUUGGACUUUUUACAAAAAAAAUAAUAACAAUACUUGGAGUACAUAUUGAUAAAUUUAUAUGUUUCUUUUCUUACCUUUUAUUGUCGAUGGUCAUGCCUUCAAUCACUUCAGUAGCCUGAAAGUAAUCAAGAAGAUAAAAUUAAUGCUCUAAAUUGUACAAUAAAACUUUUAAAAAUUUACAUGCAUGUUCAACAUUAUUGCAAUCUUUUGGUCAAAAUACAGUAAAUAAAAUAUAUUCUAAUGAGAGUAAUUCAAUAAAAUUAAACAUUUAUACCACAAAUCAUUAUUAAUAUUUAUAAUCAACAAAUGAAAAUUAUCUUAAAGCUGCUCAAUGUCACUUAAGGAUCGAUAUAUAAAGCAAUUAGACUAAGCUUUGGAUUUACACCAUUUAUUGAUAAAAGAAAAUUUUGUAUGUAAAUUUUGUUGAAUGGUUUACCGUUUUUUUUGUUAGAACAUGAUGGACAUCCUUUUCCUUCCACAAUCUGCAACGUUUUCCAGGUUCAUUAACACAUUUUUCUUCAACAAUUUUUCUUCCCAUUUCUUGCAACAAGGCAUGCAUCCACAAAUAUCGGUCGUCAUCAUCGACUUUUAUGAGAGAUUUCUUAAAGAGAACAUCAAUUCCAAUAUCUGGGAAAAACUCACAACCAUCCAAUACUUUCAUUACCAAAUCUUUCUUCUCCCCAUUGAAAAAACAUGCUAUAUCUAGAAAUAUAUUCUUCUCCCUUUCUUCUAAUCCAUCAAAGCUGAUUCUUAGUGUGUUAAGAAUUUCUCUGUCACAAUCUUGUUCAAGUCUUUCAAUUGCACUUCUCCAUUGAACUAUAUCUCUACCGCACAAAAAUGAACCCAAAACUUCAAGAGCUAAGGGGAGACCAUCAACAUAAUGUACAACAUGUUCAGAAAGUUGAUUGAAAUCAUCUUUUGGAGUUGUAUCACCACCAAAAGCUUUCAAAUUGAAAAGCCUUAGUGCAUCGUUGGUGUUCAAUGUUGUAGGCUUAUACACAUCAUCGAUUCGAUAAGAUUGGAGCAAAUGUUCAUCUCUUGUUGUUACAAUGAUCCUACUACCUAAACUGAACCAAUCACGCCUUCCAACCAAGCAUUUCAAGUGUUGUACAUUAUCAACAUCAUCAAGAACAACAAGAACUUUUUGCUAGACAACCUGCGGCUAAUUAUGGCAUUCCCUUCGUGAACAUUGAAAAAAUUGAAGCAUUCAUUUGGCAAUAUUUGAUAAAGAAGUUGUUUCUGUAAAGAAACAAGUCCACACUUGUUUGAAACUUCUCGAAUAUCAGCAAGAAAGGUUUUACCUUCAAAAUGAGGUGACAUUUGAGUGUAAACAACCCUUGCAAGAGUUGUUUUACCGAUGCCACCCAUUCCACAAAUUCCUAUAAUGCGGACAUCGUCUUCCCCAAUAUUUAUUUUCGAAUACAACUGCUCCAAACGUGAACUAAUUCCAACCAACUCAUCAUGAAGAACUGGAUAUGUCUGACAUAAAUUUGCUGAUAUCUUCUUAACAAUGUCUCCAAUAAACUCUGAUUCAUGCUACAAUGAAAUUAAAUUUCGAUGCUAUAUUUCAAAUGCACUUCUUCAUUUUUAGUUCAGUGAAUAAUGAAAUAUAAUAUAGUUGGAAGCAAACAAAAAGCAAGAAUAAGACAGCAAGAUCUGUUAUAGCAUCAAAUGACACAACUUGCUGCUUAGUUGAAAUAUGGGAAUUCUCAAUUAAACACAAAAUUAUAUAUAAAAAAAAUGCAAUCCAAAAAAAAAAAAAAAUUAGUCAUUAAAAUUAGGAAAUAUAGAAGAAAAGAAAGAAAUACCUAUUAUGUAAAUGCCAUCCUUUGAUGUUAGCUACUUGAGUCAAAGCAUUUCGCCACUUUUGGAUCUUGUCUGUAUCUUCCUUGUACCUCUCUUGGUGUUUGGCGAAGGCUUCUUCAACUUUUCCUUUUUGUUUUCUUAAAUCGGAUGGAUCCACAUCGUAGAAAAUUGGAAAUACUUUAUGUCCGUUCACAUUUUUUUGUUGAACAAUCUCAGCAAGCUCCUCCAAGGACCAUCCUGAAAAGGUAUAGGUUUUUGAAAAAACGAUUACCGAGCACCAUGAUUGCUGAAUUGCAUUGAAGAGUUUAGGUGCGAUCUCUUCACCAGCCUCCAGCUUUGGAUCAUCUCUGAAGGUGGCGAUCCCACUCCUCUUUAGAGCAUCAUAAAGAUGAUCCAUGAAGUUGUUGCGAGUAUCUUCACCUCUAAAACUCAAGAAAACAUCAUAUUUCUUUCUAGAAAUGGAGGAAGAAGUUGACGGUAACGACAACAUGAGGAUGUAUGAAAGGAGAUGGAUAUCUCAAUCUGGUGUUCAAAAUCAGAAAAUAGAUCGCCCGAUACCCACAAAGAAACUAGAAAGAGUAAGUAUAUAUAUGAGCAUAGGGGCGGAAAUUAGGGGUCAAAAGAUGAGCAAUGGAUGUUCUUGCCAAGAAGUAUCCAAGAAGGUGAGAGUUGGCAAAAUGGAAAUUACGUAAUAAUUAAAAAGUUGGGCGGUUUGUAUUUUACGUAUUUAAGAAUUAUGGGUAGAUAAGAUUAUGACUAAUAAUUAGAAUUAAUUUAUGGGCCGUUUAAAAAGUUUACCAAACAACCAACUACUCGCAUCCACACGUGGAAGAUUUCUAUCUCCAGAGACAGAUCCUUUUCGACCGGCUUGUCCAGAAUUUCUACAAUGGAUAACAGCUCUGGAGAUGAUAACCCUGGCAGGGCAGAAGUAGAAUUUUUUUUUUAAGGUACAAAAUUAAAUUGUAACUUUUAUUAUAGUAAAAAUAUAAUUUUAUAAUUUUAACCGUUUAUAUCUUUAUAAUAUUUAAAAUAUUAAAUUAAAUUAUUAUAAUUUUUAGGAGGGUCAACGUGUAAUUUUAUUUUUACUAAUUUAAAAUUUUAAAAAUCUUAAAAAACUUAAAUAAAAAACUUUUCAUUUUAAGAGAAGGAACCCUACUAUCCCCUAGAUUCGCCUCUGUAUCUCUGAGAAGCAUCAUCAUUGAUAAAUAUGCAACAGGAAACUACUCCCUUCAUUUGUCUUGAAUUUGCAAAUGCCUGCAAAAUAAAACUUCAGCGCUUAGUAAAUAAAACCAUAAAUUCCCUUCAUGGACAUUGAAAACUUUUGUAGCUAAAUACGCCUGAGAUUUUGCUCCUGAUUCAUCAUGUCUUAUCUGCCUGCCUUUGCCUUUCCAUUUAUUCCUGGAUAAAUUUCUGUUCUUCAUAUUUCUUCUAUUGAGAGGACAUUUGCUCCUCCAUAACUCUUAUUCUCUUCUGCAUGUCCAAAUAUUGCUAACUACCAGAUUGAUUAUGUUAGAACCUUUGAUCCAUUGGUGAUGCUUCGGCAUGGUGUUUAAUUUUUGGGGUUAUAAUACCAUGAAGGAGUAUUGGUAAAACUGAUGGUAUGAAUUGUAUUAAAAAAAAGUUUAUGCAUAUAACAUAAAAUGUAUUAAAAAAUCCAUUAAACUUUACAAGUUUCAAUCAGGCACAAAAGAAUGAAUUGUAUGAAUAAAAAUUUAAAUGGUAUAAAAAAUUAUGUUCUACAAAUUCGAGAUAUGUGUAGAAUAUGAGUUUAGUGUUUAACAUGUUCAUACUCAAAAUUUAGAAUUAGUUAUAACAUUUCAAGAAUAUUACCAAAUCCUAUGUUGAGUAAAGAUGUCCAAAAUGAAUACUUCAAAUCAAAUAAAAGACGUGCAUAAAAUAGAUUAGUAUGUCUAAAAAAUAAUUAAUAGUCGAUUGAGUUUUAGCUCGAUUGAUAUCAAUAUUUUUGUCAAUACAGGUGUGAAAAUAGAAUAUUGGUAAUGACAAUGUGUCACAAAGAAAAAGAGAGAAAAAUAAAGAACACACAGAUUUUACGUGGAAACCCUUUCGGAAAAAAAUCACGGGCUGAGGAGAAGAUAAUACACUAUACCGAAUUCGAAUGAAUACAAGAGGAGUAGACUAUGUCUAUUUAUAGGCUUGUAAAACUAUAUUCUAAUAAGAGUGUAGUAAGAUUGAAACACCUUAUUCUAAUUAAUAUCAAAUAGAUGGAGUUUAAUAAGGUUUAAAAACCUUAUUCUAGAAUAAAAUAAAAGAAGUGUAGUUCUAUAUGGAUUUUACUUUUAUUUUAUUUUACCAUUGUAUUUUAUUUAAAUAAGAAUUCAGGUCACUCAAUUCUAACAAUCUCCACCUUGACACGAAUUUUUAAUGAACAAGUUCUUCAUUGCAAACUCUCAACGAACAAGUUCUUCACCUCUUUCAUAAAACCCCAUUACAGGUUUAACUUCAACAAUGAACACCAACCAAGUCUAAGCAAUGCUCAAAUUUGGUUAUAGGAAGUGACUUAGUCAUCAUAUCUGCAGAAUUUUCAUGAGUAUUAAUUUUACUCACAACAAUAUCACCACGAGCAAUAAUAUCAUGAACAAAAUGAUACCGGACAUCAAUGUGUUUUGUUCUUUCAUGAAACAUUUGAUCUUUUGUAAGGAAGAUGGCACUCUGAUUGUCACAAAAUACUGUACUGAUUUGAAGGUCUUCAUUGAGUUCACUAAAGAGUCCCUUCAACCAAAUAGCUUCUUUACAAGCCUCAAUAAUCGCCAUGUACUCAGUUUCAGUGGUAGACAAAAUGACUGUAAUUUGCAAAGUGGCUUUCCAACUGAUUGCACAACCUCUAGUUGUAAAGACAUAACCUGUGGGAGAUAUUCUUCUAUCAAGGUCUCCAGCAAAAUCAGCACCAACAUACCCAAUGACUCCACAUCUCGUUCUUCCAAACUGUAAGCAAACAUCAGUAGUACCUAGUAAGUAUCUUAAAAUCCAUUGAACUUCUUUCCAAUGUUCUUUAUCUGGAUUUGCCAUGCAUCUGCUAACUUCACUGACUGCAUAUGAUAAAUCUGGACGUGAACAAAACAUAGCAUACAUGAGAGAUCCCACUGCACUAGAGCAUGGAACAUGUGACAUGUACUCAACCUCAUCAUAUGAUUGUGGAGACAAAGCUGAUGAAAGUCUGAAAUGGGCUGCUAAAGGAGUAUUAACAGGCUUAGCACUCUGCAUAUUGAACCUGCAAAGAACUUUCCCCUUCUGACUUAGGUACAAUUUACUUGCUUUUUUGUCUCUGAGAAUCUUUAUACCAAGUAUCUUCUUUGCUGGUCCCAAAUCUUUCAUCUCAAAUCUUUCACUUAGUUGGGCUUUGACCUUUCUUAUCUCUUAUUUUUCUUUCGCUACUAUCAACCUAUUAUCAACAUAAAGGAGUACAUACACAAAAGAAACAUCAUUGUUUUUCUUAAAGUAAACACAACUGUCAUAGCUACUUCUUUUGAAAUCAUGAGAAGUCAUAAAGAAAUCAAACCUUUUGUACCACUGUCUUGGUGACUGUUUCAAACUGUAAAGGGACUUUUUUAGCAAGCAAACAUAGUCCUCUUUUUCUGAGACUAUAAAACCCUCUAGUUGUUGCAUGUAAGUAUCCUCCUCAAGUUCUCUAUGCAAAAAUACAGUUUUUACAUCUAACUAUUCAAGCUCCAAAUCAUGCAUAGCCACAAUACCAAGUAAAGCUUGAAUCGAACUAUGCUUCAUAACUGGGGAGAACACAUCUGUGAAGUCCACUCCUGGAAUUUGACUGUAACCCUUUGUAGCAAGCCUUGUUUUAUAUAUGGGUUCUUCAACUCCUAGAGUCCCUUCAUUCUUUUUAAACACCCAUUUACAACGAACAAUCUUUUUAUCUUUAGGAAGUUUCACAAGAUCUCAUGAUUUGUUUUUCUGGAGUGAUUCCAUCUCUUCUUGCAUAGCAAACAUCCAAUUUUCUAAGUCUUCACAGCUAACCGCCUCAAAAUAAUUAGAUGGCUAUUGGUUUGCAUCUAUAUCUUCAACCACAUUUAAAGCAUAAGCAACUAGAUCAGCCUCGGCAUACUUCUUUGGGGGUUUAAUUUCUCUUCUACUUUUGUUUUUGGCAAUAAAGUAUUAUGGCGAAGAAGCAACUUUAUUCUGAAUUUUUGUACUGGCUUGAAAAGUCGACUCUAUUGUAGAUUCUGGAUUAAUCUGAUGCUCCACCUACUUUUGAUUUUCUUUAUUGGAAGAGAGAUAAGUUAGGUAGCAUAGUAGUUUCAUCAAAAACAACAUUUCUACUAAUCACAACAUUUCUAUUUUUAGGACACCAUAACUUAUACCCUUUUACACUAGCUUUAUAACCAAGAAAAACACAUUUAAUGGAUCUCGGUUCUAAUUUUCCAUUAUUAACAUGAGCAUACGUACGACACCUAAAGAUCUUUAAGUCAGAAUAAUCAGCAGGAUUACCAAGCCAUACCUCUUGUGGAGUCUUUUUCUCAAUGGAAAUGGAUGGAGAUCGAUUGAUCAAAAAACAUGCAGUAGAGGUUGUUUUGGCCCAAAACGACUUUGGUAAGUUGGCAUUUGACAACAUACAUCGAACCUUCUCCAUGACCAUUUUGUUCAUUUGUUCUGCAAUGCUGUUCUGCUGUGGAGUAUGACAAACUGUCAAGUGUCUCACGAUCCCUUCUGACUUGCAUAGUUAAUUAAACUCAUCAAAACAGAACUCUGAGCCAUUAUCUUUGCGGAGGUAUUUUAUUUGUUUUCCCGUCUGUUUUUCAAUCAUAUUUUUUCAAGACUUAAAUGCAAAAAACACAUCGCUUUUUUGUGUAACUCAUACCCAACCGUUUGAUUGUAUCAAUAUUCUGCAGAAUUGUAAUGUAGGACAAGAUUUCCAUGAACUAAACUAUAUCACAUGUUACACAAUACGAAAUUAAUACAAACAUGAAACAUAUUUGCUCAUGUGCACACACUUGUAUAUACGUGAUUUAAGUUAAACAAUAUAUUAGACAUGGCAUGAUUAACAACUGAUUAUAAAAUAAAGGUAUUUAGUUACACGCAGACACACAUGUAUCUAAACUCUUUACCGUUGAUGGAGAUGAAAGGAAAAUAUCCCCCCAAAUGUUAGAAUGAAAGUUGGUUGAGGGACGCUUCUGGUUGGACAUGGAUCCAUGAAUUGAAGAAGGAAGCUUUGAUGAAGACAUUUCGUUAGCUAGUAACUAUGUAUGUUGGAAACCCUACGAAAUGAGAUGAAGUGGUGUGAGGCAAAGAGCUCCUAUGUUGACUUAUUUAUACAACUUUCUCAGCAUGUGAAAAUCCUACAUUUACCUAUACAUCUGGAAAUUGAACAGUAGGAUUCGGUAAAAAUCAAAUCGCAUAGUGCCUUAUUAAUUAUUUUUUAAAUUUAAAAAAAAAGAAGAAAGUUAUUGAGAUUAUUUAAAAAUUUUGUAAAAAUAAAAAAUAUAUUAUAAAAUUUUAAAAAUUCAAAAAAAUAAAAAUUUAAUUAUUGAUUUGACAUCCACGUGUAUGUCCACGACAACAAAUUAAAUGUUUGAUUAAAAAAUUCAUCCAUUUUGGGUGAUUUGACAAAAAAAAAUAAGUUCAAAGAUUAAAGAGGUAGAAAAUUAAAUAGAGGGCUAAAAAGAUUUGGUUUUUUUUUUUUGUAAUGUUGGAAGCCUAAAUGUGUCAUUAUACCAAAUUAACUCAAUCACUUAAAAAUAUAACUAAACUAUAAACAAAACAAUUUUUAUAUGUCAUUCAAUCAUAAGUGAAGUGAUAAAUAAUUUGUAUUCAAGUUUUAAGUUGAUAUUGACAUUGUUGCCAGUGUAGGAGGAUGUGGGUUCAAGCAAGCUGAAGCGUGUCAUUCUCCUUUUUCAGGGUUAAGAAGGGAAUAUAAAUAGUUCUAGGUAUUAUAUCAAAAAAUAAUUUUUAGUUGACGUCAAAAUUUAAUUUCAUCCUCAUCCUUAUAAACAACUACUUUUUUGAAAAACAAAAUUUAAUGAAGUAUUAAUAAAGAAAUAAAAAUGUAAAUGGUUUUGAAAAAAUUUACUAUUGCUAGCAAGAAGUGUGUUGCUAAUAGAGACAGGACACUAAGAAAUUGGUGCCUAAGUUGGUGGGCACUUCUUUAGGCACUAAACGAGAAAAAUAGAAAAACACACGAACAUGAUUACGCAAUUCAGUUACUCUACGUCUGUGGAGCCUAGCUCAGUUAAAAGUUUGUACUCUUUUCAACAAUUACAAAGUGAACCCUAAUUGUAGGAAAAAAAAAUCCAAUUUGAAAAUGGUUUUCUUGCCCAGUAAAAAAUUAAAAUUUUAAAAACUGACCCAGUUUGUGAUAUUUAUAGCAGUAAACCUUAGACCGAAAUUAUACCUAUGUUUUUGGUUAAGCGAAUCCUAGACGUUUUUCGAUUUUCAACUAAACGAGUUACGUGAUUAUCAAGUGAAUUUUAAAAAUAAAAAUAAAAAUGUCACGCAAGAGAAUUUAAUAGAAAAAUUUUAACAAAAUUUUUCAACUAAACGAGUUUUUGGUUAAGCGAAUCCUAGACGUUUUUUGACUUUCAACUAAACGUGUUACGUGAUUAUCAAGUGAAUUUUUUAAAAAAAAUUUAAAAAUGUCACGCAAGAGAAUUUAAUAGAAAAAUUUUAACAAGGGUAACGAUCAAUCCUGAAUUUUUAAAUUCAAAAACUAGAAAAUUAUGCUCCUAAAAAUAAAAAUAGAGGACUAAAUUUCAAAUGUAAAAGUAUAUAGGGAUCUAGUGUAUAUUUUAAUAUUCAAAUUUUUAGUCUUUAAUUUGACACAAAUAAUAAUUAACCUAACGUGGAAUGUGGGUCGAGUCCAUACUAGUUUUGGGUCAAAGCCUAAAAACGUGUUAUAUUUCUGUUUUUCCUACAAAACUUUGUUGUCAAGAGUUCAAAUUUUACAUAUAAUUUAUCUAUAUUACAAUGAUUAAUAUAACAAUAUCUUAAUGGGUUGAGUAGAAUGGUUCAACAAGUACAAAGAUGAUGAAGGAAACUUUAACAUGUCCUUAACAAGUGAUGUGAAAGGCUUACUAGAAUUAUAUGAAGCUUCACAUUUACGUGUGCAUGGGGAAGAUAUACUUGAAGAAGCUCUUGGUUUCACCACCACUCAUCUAGGUUUAGCCAAAGCUGCGGGCACUAUCGAAUAUCCCCUUUCAGCCUUAGUCUCCCAUGCUCUAUACCAACCCAUCCGCAAGGGCUUGCCAAGGUUGGAGGCUAGGCGAUUCAUUUCCAUUUACCGAGACGAUGCUUCACAUAACAAAACACUGUUGAAGUUUGCAGAGUUGGAUUUCAACUUGUUACAAAUUUCACACAAGGAUUUCAAGGCAAUAUAUUACUCCUUCAACAUUCAAUAUUUUAAUUGUUUAUCCUAAUUUAAAAGGACUAACUGAUACCUAAUGAUGAACUAUACAUAGGCUAAUUUGAGUUUUGUUUCAGGUGGGGGAAAAGUUUAGACUUACCUACAAAACUACCUUUUGUUCGAGAUAGAUUGGUAGAAGCUUACUUUUGGGCACUGGGAGUGGAUUUUGAGCCACAAUACUCUUUUGCUAGGGAGAUAUUAGCAAAAACAAUGGUCAUGACAUCAAUAAUGGAUGACAUAUAUGACGCAUAUGGCACACUUGAAGAACUUCAACUCCUCUCGAAUGCAAUUCAGAGGUUAGCAACUUCACACGAUUCAAUUUUAAAUUUGAAAGUUGAUUCAGUUAGUUCAUUGUAAUCAUGUAUAAAAAACAUUACUCAAUAUGUUUGAUUUUGAACUUUUCUCUAAUUGAUUUUGCAGGUGGGAUGUUGAUUAUAUAGAUCAACUCCCAAAAUACAUGAAGUCAUUUUACAAGCCAUUGUUAGAUCUUUUUGGAGAAAAUGAGUAGGCAAUGAUUAAGCAAGGAAAAUAAUGUUAUGUCAAAUAUGCGAAAGAUUAUACAUUCGUACCUUAUCUCAUUUUUUAAAUAAUUUUACAUAAGCAGUAAAAAUUAGUAACCCCUUUCUCCUUUUCUCAUAUAUUAUAUGAGGAAAAUGACAAGUAGUGUUGGCAAUGAAGCAAGGUGGAGUGGGACUAUUCACCUUAACCCCAUCCAAUCUUUAUAUCUCCUACCUUGACACCACUCCGAACAUGAUUUUAUUUGAAAUUUCAUAUCCAACAAAUUUUUUUUUUCUCAACUUUACCCAACUCACACAAAAAUAUUAAAUAAUUUUUAUGUUGUAUUACUUUUUACAAUAUCAAAUAAAAUGCAUAAUAUAAAAUCAUAUAAAAAUUUAAAAUAUCUAACUAAAAAAUAAAAAAUUUAAAAUUUUAUAAAAUCUUAUAGAAGUUUAAAAAAUUUAUAAUUAAAAUAUAUAAAAUUAGUUAUGAAAUUAAAAAGGUAUUUUGGUAAUUUUUUAAGAUAGUGCAAGUUUAAGUAAAACCUUAUCUCUUCCCAAACUCUAAUUUUCAUAAAAAUAAAAUAUGUUUUAUAGGGUUGGAUCGAAACAUAUGGAUUUGGGUCAUUUUUAUUAUCCCUAAAUAUACAUAUAUGUUUAGCAUGAUUAUAUUCCAUUUUAUAAAAAUAUAUAUAUAUUUAUAUAUGAAGGAUUAUAAGUUGGUACUUAUAUACUCUAAACUUGAAAAUUUAUUAUGACCUAAAGGUAAUGACUACAAUGAAAACUUUGUACCAAUAAUGGAGGAGUAUAUGAGGAACGCGGUUUUAUCUGUUGGUUAUAUCAUGUUAACCGUCACAUCUUUUAUUGAGAUUUUUGAUUGGGCAUCCAAGAACCCUAAAAUCACUGAUGCUUCUUCCGUUGUUGAUCGUCUCAUGAAUGAUGUUACUUCACACAAGGUACCUUUUUUUCCCGAAUUUUGCAAGAGUAUUUUCAAUAAGUUAUAUUUGAUGAAUAAAACUAAUAUAAAUAUAUAGUUUGAGCAAGAGAGAGGGCACUGUGCAUCAGCUUUGAAUGCUACAUGAGAGAACAUGCAGUUUCAGAAGAAGAAGCAUGUACUGAAUUGAAGAAGCAAGUGGAGAAUGCUUGGAAAGAUAUCAACCAGGAAAUCAUAUUUAGUGAGAUAUCUAAAGUUGUUCCAAGACCGGUUCUUACACGAGUUCUCAAUUUUACAAGAUUGGAGAUGAGUACACACAUGUUGGGAAAAAUACAAAAGAUGGGAUAACUCUGUGCUCAUUGAUCCAAUCUCAGUCUCCUAUUGAGGAAUUAAGACUCUAUAUCAUCUAGCGAUCCAUUUCCUGUUUGUGUUGCUUUUAUAUGUUAUAUGCUUUUAAGAUGUUAUUUAAAUCCUAACAUCUCAGUAAUCCAUGGUGUAUAUUUAUGUUACUCUUUUUUACUAUGUUUUAUGUCGUAUUUUGAUAAAUUUUCAAAUCUCAAGAUUUCUUGAGACUUAAAGGGUUGGUGAAUGAAUCAAGGCGUUGUUAUUUAAAUGGGUUUUAUGGUUGUUCUUUUGGUGCAGUUCUGAUUGUGUCUCAACUGCUUUUUGUUUAUGAGAUUUUAGUGCAAGGGAUCAUGAGUGGUAGUUGUGUUGCAAAGGGCUAAUCCUUACAGUAUAUCAACAUGGGAUGAUGGUGAAUGAACCUUGGCUUUAAAGUUUUUUAGGUGUUAAUGAUGGUAAGUAUGUGAUUGCUUAAGAGAUUAAAGGUAUGGGUUUUAAAGAAAAUGGGUGGAUGGAAGGAAUUGUGGGUAAUCAGCAGUGCAUUUUACUGGAGGAGGGAAGUGCAACUGGUAGGGGAUUUCUAAGUUCUUAGAAUGGUUUGCAUGUAAAUUUUGGAGUUCUAAAAAAAAAAAGAGUUAACUUAAAUCACUUUUGAGAUGAAUUUCAAUGGAAAUGUGAAAUUCCCAACUAUAUGUUUUCUAAAAUGAAGAAACAAGAGAGAGAAAAUCUAACUAUUUUGCAAAGAGAAAAAAAAGAAGCCAUUUUUAUAUUACCCACUCUGCAUUGAGAAAUUAUUUUAUGGACCUUUUUAUCACAUCAUCUAGGAUUUUUUACACAAAUAAUACAAAAAAAAUUAAAAAAAUAACAAAGUAAUACAACCAUUUUAUUAUGUACCAAAAUGGUACAAACAGUAAAAAACCUAGUCGAGGGCCUGCCACAGGCGGCACCUGUGUCAUGUUUUCCUGGGGCUCCCCAAUUUGUUUGUUUUUGUUGUUUAAGGUUUAUGAUGUGAUUGGUUUUGAUUUAAUUGAGAUUUAAUUUUAAAUUUAUUUUUUUACAAGGUAUUAUUUGAUUAAAAAUAGAUAUUAAGAUAUGUUUAUAUUUAUCUAUAUUUUCAUUCAUUCAUAAUUUAAUUUUAAUUUUUAUGUUAUGUACAUUCUAUGUUUUAUUAUUUAUGUUAUGUACAUACUAUGUCUUAUUAUUUUAUCAUUUAUGUUAUUAUUUAUGUUUUAUUAUUUAUGUUAUCUACAUUCUAUGUUUUAUUAUUUUAUUUAAUUUAUUUGUUAAGUGUGUUUUAUGUUGAUUAGAUAUAUUUUUUAUGAAACUUAUUUAGCAUGUUGUAAUGAGAUUUUUUUACAAAAAUAGUAUUAAAAAUAAAAUACCGAAAAAAUAUUUUUAUGACAAAAUAAAAUACAAAAAGAAAUAAAAAUGAAAAUAGUAUAUUUACUGAAAGUAAUAAAAUUCGAAAAAAAAAAAAUUACGAACAAAGGGUCAAAAUAAAGGUUUUUUACUAAAUUUAUAAAAAAAACACACAAAAAUAAUAUAUUUCAGACAUUAUGUACUAAAAUAAUAUAAAAUAAUAAAAUACAAAAAUAGUAUAUCUUUUGAAAGUAAUAAAAUCCGAAAAUAAGAAAAAUAUGAACAAAUAGGCCAAAAUAAGGGUUUUUUUAUAAAUUUAUAUAAAAACACACUAAAUUAAUACAUUUCAAACUUUAUGUACUAAAAUAAUAUAAAAUAAUAAAAUACGAAAAUAGUAUAUUUUUUGAAAGUAAUAAAAUCUGAAAAUAAGAAAAAUACGAACAAAGGGCCAAAAAAUCGGGAAAACAUGGCACAGGUGCCGCUUGUGGCAGUGGCAUCUUUGGUGCUGCCUCUGCCACUGGCACCUUUGGUGCCGCCUAUGGCAGACCCUCGACCAGGUUUUUUACUGUUUGUACCAAUUUGGUACAUAAUAAAAUGGUUAUAUUAUUUUGGUAUUUUUUUAAUUUUUUUUGUAUUAUUUGUGUAAAAAACCUCAUCAUCUAUGGUCCCACCCAAUUAAAAGAAGACGCAUCAUCUUUGAUUCCACUUCUCCACUGAGAAGCAUCUCUACCGCACACAAAAGAACCCAAAACUUCAAGAGUUAAGGGGAGACCACUAGCAUAAUGUACAACAAGUUUAGAAAGGACUAAAUUGUAACAAUUUGGACUAAUUUAAAUAAAACAAAGAACAUGGAUAGUGAUGCCCCUAAGGGAAUAUUAAGAUAAAGUGAGACCGAAAGGUAAUCUUGUCGUGCACCCGUUCAUUAGUCACGGAUUAACUAGUGAGAUUGGAAGAUAAACUAGACCUAAUCAGUCUAAGUUGGCAAAAUUAAGACCGGAAGAUAAAAUAGAGCCACUUGGUAAUUAUGUGAUUUAUGUCAUUGGUCCAAGAUUUGGUGAACCACAUCGAAGUCAACCAACCCCUAUUAGUCAUUUGCUAGAUAGUCCUUCUAGUUUACAUUUCUUGUAAUUUAGUCCCUAGAGUAGAAUAUUUAAUUUUCUUGCAAACUUAUCUUUUAUGAAUCACCGUAAUAUAAAAUUGUAUCAAUAGACACUUAGCAUCUAUUGUGUAUGUUAGUUAUUACUCAAUUGCCUAUUCCUUUGGGUUCAAUCCUUAGAAUACUUUUGCAUUUCAUUAUUACACUAUAAAUAUAAAUAUUAAAACUGACCAGUACGCUUGCAGUAAAAUUGGGCUUUUAAAAUAGUUAUAUAAAUUUAGUGUUUUAAGCACACGCAUGCAACCGGUCAGUAGUCAAUCUCACCCCAUUAGCCACCAUGACAUGAAGUUGACUAAAGUGCUCCACUAAUAAAUCCAACCUCUUAACGAGCUUAGAAUCUAGAAAAUUGUGUGUACUUCUUGAGUCAACCAGGAUAAUGACAUUGGAGUGACCAAUACUUGCUAAAAACUGCAUAGAAUUAUGUCUCUAUAAGCCUUGAAGGGUGUGUAAAGAUAAAACUGGGGCAGUGUGUUUCGUUUCCUAUUCUAACACUUUCAGUUGUUCAGGACAUUCUUGGAACUCUUCAAACACUGGACUCUUGCUUCCACCCUCAUGAUCUGAAUAAAGUUCUACAACCAGCUGAUAAAGUUGAGACUUGGUGCACUUAUGACCUGGGGUGUAUUUGGAUGCAAACCGAAAGCAAAGUCCCUUCUUUCUUCUCUAUUCUAUUUUAGCUUGAGAAAAGGGUUUGGUUUGGAAUUUUUACCCCGAGUUACUAUUUGGAGGUCCACUUGGCCCUAUCGAGUUACAGUGGUGAUAUUGCACCUUGGGACCAAGAAUUAGGAGGCUAAGGUGACUUAUUCCCCCACUUACAUUCAAACUCUUCUUUGUGAACUUAGCCACAAUGUGUUCAACCUAUAGAGCUAGUUGAUAGCCUUCUACCAGUGUUUGAGCCUUGAACAACCAUAGAUACUACCCUAUCUCAGGUUUAAGAUUGCAAGUGAAAACACUAAGGACAUAAUCCUCACUUAGAUGUAACUGAUUAAGCAAACUUACAAAACGGUCAUGGAAUUGGUCCAUUGACCCUUUCUCCUUGAGUGAAACAUGUCCUAACAUGGGGUCUAAGAAGGAGUUAGAUCUAAAAUGAUCCCUCAGCCCUCGAACAUAUAUCUCCUAAGUCAGGUGAUGUAAUCCCCCUGUCAUUGCACAAAAGUGAUGCCAAUCUAGGGCUUUACCUUCUAAGUGCAACAUUACCAUUCUAACAUUGGUUUACUUUAUUAUAUUUGCAGCUUCAAAGAAUCGUUCUAACUUGGACCACCAAUCUUGAUAAUCUGUCCCAUCAAAUCAUGGGCAUUCUAGCUGAAGAGUUUUACUGACAAAGUCCACAAGACCAACUUGAGAAAAAGUAUUCAUGUUUUCCAAAUCUGACACAGGUGAUAAUAUAAGUGACUUUUUGGAAGGGAACUUAGGAGGAGAGCCUCCCAUAAUGCCCUUGUCUUGAACUCUUCUAGUUACACUGGCAGAAGCAUUUUGACCAAAAUAGUGUUCAAAAAGAUAAUCCACUCCUACAAGGUAAUCCAUUCCUACAAGAUAAUCAACUCCAUUGAUUUGUGAUUUUGAGAUUUUAAUUUAAAAGAUAAAUAUCGAAAUAUAUAAUUUUUUUAAAAAAAUUAAAAACUGAGACCAGUAUAAAAUUAUUUAUCUUAGAUGGAAUGCUCAAUUAGGUGAUAUUUUAUUAGGAUCAGAUAAACGAUCUCAUCGAGAGAGAGAGUCAUCACAGGAUGGAUGAUUGGGAUCGGUAGACGAUGAGACUCCAUGAGUGUGGAGCCUUCCUUGAGUGGACAACGGCAGCAUUGGGUUCACACCUGCGCGUGGAGAGGACUUUGAAGCCUUCACAAAUCAUGUAAAGAAAUGAAAGAAAAUGAAGAAAAUGUUAAAAGCAUGUGCCAAACGUACCAUGAUGAGGGAAAUGAGAUACAACAAUACAAAGCAUGAGUCCAACUAAUAAAUUAAAGCUGACUUGAAUUUUAUAGGAUGGGAUAAUUUCAUUUUCGGUCCUCUAUAAUCUUCACUAUAUGCGUAUAGCUCCUGAUUUUAGUUUAUUUAUUUAAUUCAAUCCUAACCGUUAUUUAUUUUAGUUUUUUUUAAUUAGUAUUUGUGACUCUUAACAUUACUAUUGUAGGUAUUUAGAUAACUUAAUAGAGAUAAUAUUUUUACUAUUUGAAUGCAUAAUUUAUUUUAAAUAUUAGAAGCUAUUAUUCACUUAUCUUUAAUUACUUUUAAUAAUUUUGAACUGUCAUUAAACAAGUGCAAUUUAAUAAUCUAUUACACAUUACAUUGUCAAAUAUAUUUCACGUGAUUAAAUUUUAUAAAAAUGAUAUGUAUAAAUUUGAAAUUUAUUUUCUGUACUUUUAUUUGUAGGAAUUUCAUUUAUUUAUUUUUAAAAUUUUAAAAUUCAAAUUUAAUUGUUAACCCAUUUUUUUCCUAAAAUUUAUGUGAUAUUUUGAAAUUUAAAAAAAUACACAUUCACUCCUACUAUUGUUUCUAGAAAAGUUGAAUUGGAAUUUUGGUAGAUAAAACGACUGAAGCAUGAAGAUCACCGUGUGCCAAAUUCAACCACCUUCCUUUUCUUAUACAAAAUUUUAAAGAGUUUCACAAUGAUGCCCUCGAGAAAAGAAAGUAUACAUUAAAGGAAAAAGGAAUUGUGUAAUGAGUGAUGUCAGCUUCACCGAUUAUUUCUUCUUAUCACAUGCCAAAGCAAUUUCCUUGUACAGACUGGGAAAACUCCUGGAAUUUCGUCCAAGUUUGAACGAGGUCGAGUUUUAUAUAAUACUGGACUACCAAGUGUAUGAAGUCGACCAAACACAUAGAUUACUUCGUCCGUAAUAAAUAAUAAUAAUAAUGUCGUGUUUGAUCAUGCUUGUGUUGCUGCUUUUCCUCCUGGUUGUUGCAUCUUCAGAUAUCAACCAGGGCCAGUUUAGUUUCAAUGGUUACUAGAAUGUCGAGGGAGUUGCAGGCGUAGAUUCAAGUGGGCUGUUUACACUUACAAAAUACCACAAGCCGAAUAAGUGGUCAAAUCUUCUACAAGAAUCCGAUCCAGUUCAAGAACUCCACAAAUGCAACUGUUUCCCCCUUCCCCACUACAUUCAUUUUUGCAAUUAUACCUGGAUACACCGACCUUGGUGGCCAUGGAUUGGCCUUCGUUGUCUCCCCUAACGAUGAAAUUUCUGAAGCUCUUCCCACCCACUAUCUCGGUCUUUUCAUUGAAACAAACAUAGGCUUAGACUCGAACCAUGUUGUGGCGCUUGAGCUGGGCACGGCCCGGACCAUUGCGGUCGGUGACAUAGACGGCAACCACGUCGGCAUCGACAUCAAUAACCCAAGAUCAGUGACAGCUGCUUCUGCUGGGUAUUUCACUGAUGAAAGUGAGUUCAAAAAUCUCAACCUCAAGAGUGGAUAUCCAAUGCAGGUUUGGGUUGAAUACGACGGGGUCUAGAAGCAACUUGAUGUUACAUUGUACCCAAUCAAUGUAACGAAGCCAAAACCUCACUUUUAUCCUUGAAAAAGGAUCUGUCUCCAUAUUUGUAUGAGUCUAUGUUUUUCGGCUUCUCGUCGUCCACCGGUGUUCUUGUAUCGUCGCACUACAUAUUGGCUAUUCUAAGGACAUGAUUUUUUUGCAUCUCAAUCAAAGGUUUGAAAAGUUGAAUUCUUUGAGGUGCCCAUUCAAUAGACUAAGAAAGCUGAAAAGUUGAAAUUAUAUUUAUCAUAACAUAUCAUUUUUUAUUUAUAUCAAGGAUUUUAUCAUGUUAGCAUUAUGGACACGAAUAUAAUGAAUACUAAUUUAUGGUAAAUAAGAAUCUAUUUGUACGAUCAAACAAAAAAAGGGGAAAAAAAUCAGAAAAGAGAAACUUAUAAAAUUAACUAAUAGGGGAAAAAUCUUGAAAAAGCUAGUGAAGUAGUUUACCACAUUUAAUGCUUCUUCCCUGAUUUGGCCAUUAUAAAAUUGAAAGUUUUUUGCAUCCGUUUUGGUUGCCUUCUUCCUUCGCUUCAUCAUAGAUAUUAGGUUUCUGUUUUAUGUGAGAAGUGCCAUCUACUGAUCCAUAAAGGUGUGAGCAGAGUGUUGGUGGAUGUGAGAAGAUUGAGUGGUAUGUCACUGCAACUCUUUUAUUUCUUCCAAAUCUUUCUCAUACACUAUUCUAGCACCACACUUCUUCACCUUAGCAUUGUCUUCAUCAUUUGGGUUUGAGAAAGACACCUCUAACUCAUAACAUUUUUCAUCUGAGCAAUCUGUUGCCCAUAAAUUAUUGGUUUCACAAUGACCAUAUUUAUCCUCCAAGGAAAAUGGAUAUACUUUAUCACGCGACCAAUAACGAAGAAAAAGGUGAUCUUUCAUUAUGGGCUGGUUAAAUCGUUUAUCCACCAACCAGCCGCUCCCAUCAAUCCGUCGAGGAUUUUUACCUCGAAAAUUAGAUCCAUUACAACUGGCUUCUUCAGAAUUUCUACAAUAGAUAAUUGCUCCACAACCGAUAUGCUCGUCAUCCCUUGAAGCAUCAUUAUUGACAAAAAUGCAGCAACAAGCAACUCCAAUCCAUUGACUAUCUUUCGGAACGGGUAUCUUAAUUGAAGAGUCACUUUUUUGUUGGAUAAACCAUUCUGGGAUUUCACUUCCGGGCAUCAUAAUAUCAAACUUUUUUCUUGAAUUUGCCAAUGCCUGCAAAAUAAAACACAAGUCGUUUGGUAACUAAAACCAUACAUUCUCAAGUAUGAGAUUUUGUAAGGGAGAAAAUAGAGAUUAAUCGACCUUAAGAUGUUUUUUCAGCAGUGUUAAUGCAUUGAUAUUUUCAGCCAAUUUGAAGCAGUUAAUGGCUUUAAUGAGACCAAAAUCCAAUAAAUUGCAUACAUUUGAUGGACUUGCAACUACUUCAAGUGAAGAGCAAUCAUCUAUACGCACAUCUGCUAUACUUGUUAGAAGCUCUGGCAACGAUUUAAGCAUCUUGCAAUUUGAUAAUGCAAGGAAAUUAAGCCUGCUAAGUUGAGUAAGAGCCAAGGGAAUGGUGAUGAAAUUGUUCCCCGUAAGAUAAAGAUAACUCAAAGAGGAUAGACCGUGAAUAUCUGCUUCACCAAGUGUGCACAUGUUGCAAUUUGACAAAUCAAGAAACCAAAGCUUCGAGAGCCGAGUAAGAGAUGCAGGUAUGCUGAUGAAAUUGUUACCACUAAGAUCAACAUCUGUCAAGGAGGAUAGACUAGAAAUAUCACGUGGAAUAUCUCCUUCACAAAGAUUGCAGUUCCUUAGUUUUAGCUCUCUUAAUGAACUCAAACCUAACAGCGAAGGCAACAUCCGAGGCAUGGGAUUCUUCCUUCUUCCUACAAUUACCUUGAAAAGAGAAGACAAAUUUGGUCGUAACUUUGCUUGCUGCAAAUUCUCCGACAAAUUUUCAACUCUAUAACAACCAGAAAGAUCUAGAGUUUUAAGAUGUUCCAUUUUUCUAUCAAUCUCCGGAAACCUUACAAGACUUGAGCAACCCGAAAGAAUUAAUGUUUCAAGAGAUUCCAUUCCAAUUUUGGUCGGAAGAUUUCUAAGACUUUUGCAAUCUCUUAAAUUCAAAAGUUUAAGGCUCUUAAGCACUCCUAUUGAUGGAUGAACAUCCACUAAUUUGGUACAACCUUCCAAAAUCAAAACUUCAAGAUUUGGUGCUGUUGUGAAGUCUGGUAUCUUGAGCAGGUUUUGGGACCCUUUGAGGUUGAUUAUUUUCAACUUAUACAAGGGCUGUUGAAGACAAUAAAUAAUUAGACAGAAAACAUAAUAAUGCUAACUUUUGUAUUCUUUACCUUAACCAAAGUUUAAUCAUUUAUAUUAAAAUAAGCUAAAACGAUGAGUUAAUUCUUACUCUAUUUCCCUUCCAUAGUUGUUCAAUGUGACUAUAUGGUAAAAGAAGUGCGACAAGGUUGUCCGGUUGAAAGCUUGAAGGCAAGCAUCUUAAAGGAUAUCCUGUCCAAUCUAAAAGCCGUAGUUCAUUAGAAAGAUAUUUGAUAUCAUCACAAUUUGAGACACAAAGCACUUUGAGCAAUCUCAAUUUUUUCAUCUUCAAGAAGGUAUCGAUUCUCAAAUUAAGCAUCUUGCUUGAGUCCCUAAUAACCAUGAGCAAAACAAAAAUAAGCUUCAAAAUAUACAAAAACAUUCAAUAUCUAAAAGCCAUGCUGGAUCGAUAUUGCUUUUUUAAGUAUCCAUAUCUAGCACUUAUAUCUAUUGCAUAUCUGAAUAUGGUAUUGAGAUAUGAUUAACAUAUUAGACAAUACUUUAUCUAACACUUAUAUUCGACUUUUAAUUACCUAAGCCUAAAAUAACUAGAACUAAUAUUUUGAUUUAUGUUUGGUGCACUGAUGUAUUGUUCUAUACAUUACCAGUGAACCAAAUGGUGGCAUGACCUGAAUUUAUUUUUAAGAACUUAUAAUGACAUGUUAUAACCUAGUUCAUUGAUAUAGAUUUUCGUUACAUCAAAUAUAAACCAUUACAUUAGCAAAGACUAUGAAACACAUCUCUUUAUAAUUUCUUUUGAAAGAGUAAUGUGUUCCUAUAUAAAUUUUAUAAAUAGAACAUAAAAAAAAAUUAAGCCUUAAGGGUGUACUUAGUUGAGUGAAAAAAUCAAAGGAUAUGGGGAUGAAUUGUGCUUGGUAAAGAAGAAAAGUGAGAAGAAAAAAAAGCGGAGAAAUGAUCAUUUUAUAUUAGUAAGAAGGGAAAUGUAUUAUCUUUCAAUUUUCUGUUUACUCUACCAAGCAACGUCAAAAGGUCUUUUUGUUGUUUUUUAUUGGACUUUUUACAAAAAAAAAUAAUAAUAACACUACUAGGAGUACAUAUUGAUAAAUUUAUAUGUUUCUUUUCCUACCUUUUAUUGUCGAUGAUUAUGCCUUCUAUCACUUCAGUAGCCUGAAAAUAAUCAAGAAUCGAUAAUAAGAAGAUAAAAUUAAUGCUCUAAAUUAUACGAUAAAACUUUUAAAAAUUUACAUACAUGUUCAACAUUAUCGCAAUCUUUUGGUCAAAAUAUAGUAAUUAAACUAUAUUCUAAUGAGAGUAAUUCAAUAAAAUUAAACAUUUAUAUUACAAAUCAUUAUUAAUAUUUAUAAUCAGCAAAUGAAAAUUAUCUUAAAGCAAUUAAGAUAAAAGAAAAUUAUUAAUAUUUACAUACAAUGUCAGUUAAGGAUCCAUAUAUAAACCAAUUAGACUAAGCUUUGGAUUUACACCAUAUAUUGAUAAAAGAAAAUUUUGCAUGUAAAUUUUGUUGAAUGGUUUACCGUAUUUUUUGUUAGAACAUGAUGGACAUCCUUUUCCUUCCACAAUCUGCAACAUUUUCCAGGUUCAUUAACACAUUUUUCUUCAACAAUUUUUCUUCGCAUUUCUUGCAACAAGGCAUGCAUCUGCAAAUAUUGGUUGUCAUCACUGACUUUUAUGAGAGAUUUCUUAAUGAGAACAUCGAUUCCAAUAUCUGGAAAAAACUCACAACCAUCCAAUACUUUCAUUACCAAAUCUUUCUCCUCCCCAUUGAAAAAGCAUGCUAUAUCUAGAAAUAUAUUCUUCUCCCUUUCUUCCAAUCCAUCAAAGCUAAUUCGUAGUGUGUCAAGAAUUUCUUUGUUAGAAUCUUGUUUAAGUCUUUCGAUUGCACUUCUCCAUUGAAUUAUAUCUCUACCGAACAAAAAUGAACCCAAAACUUCAAGAGCUAAGGGGAGACCAUCAACAUAAUGUACAACAUGUUCAGAAAGUUGAUUGAAAUCAUCUUUUGUAGUUGUAUCACCACCAAAAGCUUUCAAAUUGAAAAGCCUUAGUGCAUCGUUGGUGUUCAAUGUUGUAGGCUUAUACACAUCAUCGAUUCGAUAAGAUUGGAACAAAUGUUCAUCUCUUGUUGUUACAAUGAUCCUACUACCUAAACUGAACCAAUCACGCCUUCCAACCAAGCAUUUCAAGUGUUGUACAUUAUCAACAUCAUCAAGAACAACAAGAACUUUUUUGCUAGACAACCUGCGGCUAAUUAUGGCAUUCCCUUCGUGAACAUUGAAAAAAUUGAAGCAUUCAUUUGGCAAUAUUUGAUAAAGAAGUUGUUUGUGUAAAGAAACAAGUCCACACUUGUUUGAAACUUCUCGAAUAUCAGCAAGAAAGCUUUUACCUUCAAAAUGAGGUGACAUUUGAGUGUAAACAACCCUUGCAAGAGUUGUUUUACCGAUGCCACCCAUUCCACAAAUUCCUAUAAUGCGGACAUCGUCUUCCCCAAUAUUUAUCUUCGAAUACAACUGCUCCAAACGUGAACUAAUUCCAACCAACUCAUCAUGAAGAACUGGAUAUGUCUGACAUAAUUUUGCUGAUAUCUUCUUAACGAUGUCUCCAAUAAACUCUGAUUCAUGCCUACAAUGAAAUUAAAUUUCGAUGCUAUAUUUCAAAUGCACUUCUUCAUUUUUAGUUCAAUGAAUAAUGAAAUAUAAUAUAGUUGGAAGCAAACAAAAAGCAAGAAUAAGACAGCAAGAUCUGUUAUAGCAUCAAAUGACACAACUUGCUCCUUAGUUGAAAUAUGGGGAUUCUCAAUUAAACACAAAAUUAUAUAUAAAAAAAAUGCAAUCCAAAAAAAAAAUAGUCAUUAAAAUUAGGAAAUAUAGAAGAAAAGAAAGAAAUACCUAUUAUGUAAAUGCCAUCCUUUGAUGUUAGCUACUUGAGUCAAAGCAUUUCGCCACUUUUGGAUCUUGUCUGUAUCUUCCUUGUACCUCUCUUGGUGUUUGGCGAAGGCUUCUUCAACUUUUCCUUUUUGUUUUCUUAAAUCGGAUGGAUCCACAUCGUAGAAAAUUGGAAAUACUUUAUGUCCGUUCACAUUUUUUUGUUGAACAAUCUCAGCAAGCUCCUCCAAGCACCAUCCUGAAAAGGUAUAGGUUUUUGAAAAAACGAUUACCGAGCACCAUGAUUGCUGAAUUGCAUUGAAGAGUUCAGGUGCGAUCUCUUCACCAGCCUCCAGCUUUGGAUCAUCUCUGAAGGUGACGAUCCCACUCCUCUUUAGAGCAUCAUAAAGAUGAUCCGUGAAGUUGUUGCUAGUAUCUUCACCUCUAAAACUCAAGAAAACAUCAUAUUUCUUUUUAGAAAUGGAGGAAGAAGUUGACGGUAACGACAACAUGAGGAUGUAUGAAAGGAGAUGGAUAUCUCAAUCUGGUGUUCAAAAUCAGAAAAUAGAUCGCCCGAUACCCACAAAGAAACUAGAAAAAGUAAGUAUAUGAGCAUAGGGGCAGAAAUUAGGGGUCAAAAGAUGAGCAAUGGAUGUUCUUGCCAAGAAGUAUCCAAGAAGGUGAGAGUUGGUAAAGUGGAAAUUAAGUAAUAAUUAAAAAGUUGGACGGUUUGUAAUAAUUAUGAGUAGAUGAGAUUAUGACUAAUAAUUAAUAGAAUUAAUUUAUGGGCUGGUUAAAAAGUUUACCAAACAACCAACUACUCGCAUCCACACGUGGAAGAUUUCUAUCCCCAGAGACAGAUCCAUUUCGACCAGCUUGUCCAGAAUUUCUACAAUGGAUAACAGCUCUGGAGAUGAUAACAGCUCUGGAGAUGAUAAACUUACUCUGGCAGGCAGAAGUCAGAAUUUUUUUUUUAAGUUAACUUUUAUGAUAUUAAAAAUAUAAUUUUAUAAUCUUAAUAUUUAAAAUAUUUUAUAACUUUAUAAUAUUUAAAAUAUUUAAAGGAUUAAAUUAAAUUUUUAUUAUUUUUAAAGAAUUAAAGUGUAAUUUAAUCUUUACUAAUUUAAAAUUUUAAAAAUCUUAAAAAGUUUAAAUGAAAAACUUUUCAGGAGAACCAAACCUACCAUCCCUAGAUUCGCCUCUGUAUCCCGAGAAGCAUCAUCAUCGAUAAAAAUGCAACAGGAAGCUACUCCCUUCAUUUGUCUUGAAUUUGCAAAAUAAAACUUCAGCGCUUGGUAAAUAAAACCAUAAAUUCCCUUCAUGGACAUUGAAAACUUUUGUAGCUAAUUACGCCUGAGAUUUUGCUCCUGAUUCAUCCUGUUCGCCCUAAGCUGCCUGCCUUUGCCUUUCCAUUUAUUCCUGGAUAAAUUUCUGUUGUUCUUCAUAUUUCUUCUAAUGAGAGGACAUUUGCUCCUCCAUAACUCUUAUUCUUUUCUGCAUGUCCAAAUAUUGCUAACUACCAGACUGAUGAUGCUAGGACCUUUGAUCCAUUGGUGAUGCUUCGGCAUGGUGUUUAAUUUUUGGGGUUAUAAUACCAUGAAGGAGUAUUGGUAAAACUGAUGGUAUGAAUUUUGUUGGUUUUGAUUUUGUGGGGAUAUUGUUGAAACAUACAUUAGAUCCUGGUUUGAUUUCUUAGUUUGCUCCAUAUUUGCUUCGAUACUCUGACCAAUGAGGUUUGUAACUUGAACAUUGGCAAGGUCAAACUCAAUAAUAGGAGGAUCAUUGGGAUCUAGAUGUUUCAUGCUUGUCUACGCUUACCGCACCAAUUGUUAACUAGUGAGGUGAACAAAAGGAAGAAGAUGUUGGUUUGAUGAAGGAGGUGUUGGAACAUUUUCAAAUAUUUAUAGUAUCCCAAAAGGUCGUAAAUAAACCAUGCAAUGCAUGCAUACUUAUUCUAAAAUGGACACGACACCUUUUACUAAUAUUAUUCUUUCUUGCACUCCCAUUGGCUUAGGUACACUGCAUGCGUUGUCCCUUCAUGCCGUCUAUUUAAUAAUGUCGUUAAUAAUUUUAAUGUGGUCUUCACUCCAUCCAUCGAUCGUGUCUAGCCUCAGUUUUCCUCCAUACAUCAAAUCAUUUGCAUUUGAAUAUCCCAUCUCUCCUUUUAAUUUUAAUUAUACUGAGUCUUCUUAUGUAAAUUUAGUUUAUUCAGGUUGUGCUUAUGAAUUUAGAUUCAAAAUAUGGAGUUAAAGACGAUUAUAUGAUAAAAGGCAUUGUCUAUGGUUUUUGCUGCAGAAAAUUGUUAACUUUCGGGAUGACGCCAUUAUAAAAUUUGUUUGCAUGAACUAAUUAAUCCAUAGACUUUAAUUAUGUACUAUGUAACGAUUGUAUGAUGAAAGGAAUUGUCUAUGGUUUCUGCUGCAGAAAAUUGUUAACUUUCGAGAUGACGCCAUUAUAAAAUUUGUUUGCAUGAACUAAUUAAUACAUAGACUUUAACUAUGUACUAUGUAGGCGUCCUAGUACAAGGAUUGGGUUGUGAGCAAUACUAAUGGCAGUUAGGCCAUCACAGUACAACUUCAUUGGUGAAGUUAUUGGUUUCCUCAGCUCUUCCAUAAUUCUUUUUAACGACAUCAUUUCACAAAUUCCUUGAGCCAUUGAUCUAAACUCGGCCUCUGCACUACUUCUUGCUACAACACUUUGUUUUUUGCUUCGCCAAGUCACAAGGUUUCCCCAAAAAAAUGUACAGUAUCCUGAUGUAGAUAUUCUAUAUGUUAUUGAGCCUGCCCAAUCUGUAUCUGUAUAAGCUUCAAUUCCACUUUCUUCAAAUUUCUUGAAGAAUAAGUCUUUUCCAGGUGAACUCUUCAAGUAUCUCAGAAUCUGAAACAUUGUUUCUUCAUGUUCUUCCAUUAGGGAGUGCAUAAAUUGACUCACUAAGCUCACUGAAAAAGCUAUGCCUGGCCCUGUAUGUGAUAAGUAAAUUAACUUACCAACUAAUCUUUGGUACUGCCCUUUAUCAACUAAUCGACCUUCUUUAUUUCUGAAUUUUACAUUUGGAUCAAUUAGUGUGUCAGCUGGGCAGCAACCACUCAUCCCAGCCUCUUUUAAAAAAUCAAUCAUAUAUUUUUUCUAAGAGACCACAACACCCUUCUUGGAUCUCAAACUCCAAUGCUAGAUGCUCCUUGAGACGCCUUAUUUAAUCUACAUCAUCUUCUGUAAGAAUGAUAUCAUUGACAUAAACUAUAAUAAUUGUUAUUUUACCUUUUUGACAGUGCCGAUAGAAGUAAGCUUGUUUUUUAACAACUUGAGUGAAUCAUUCAAACCAAGCUCGAAGAGAUUGCUUUAGACCAUACAAAGAUUUCUUGAGCUUACAUACUCGAGUUCCAAAUUUUUACCUUUUUGACCGAGCAACUUUCAUUCCAAGAAAGUAUUUCAAAGGACCCAAGUCUUGGAUCUCAAACUCCAAUGCUAGAUGCUCCUUGAGAUGCCUUAUUUUAUCUACAUCAUCUCCUGUAAGAAUGAUAUCAUCGACAUAAACUAUAAUAAUUGUUAUUUUACCUUUUUGGAAGUGUCGAUAGAACAUUGUGUGAUCAGCUUGCCUUUGUGAGUAACCUUGUUUUUUAACAACUUGAGUGAAUCGUUCAAACCAAGCUCGAAGAGGUUAAUUUAGACCAUACAAAGAUUUCUUGAGCUUACAUACUCGAGUUCCAAAUUUUUCUUCAAAACCUAGAGGAGGAUCUAUGUAAACUUCUUCUUCAAGUUUUUCAUUUAGGAAAGCAUUCUUCACGUCUAGCUGCUAUGAAGACCAAUCAAGAUUAACAGUAAUUGAUAAAAGAACUCUAACAGAAUUUAAUUUGGCUACUGGAGCAAAUGUUUCAAGAUAAUCUAUCUCGUAUAUUUGAGUGCACCCUUUAGCUACCAGCCAGACUUUGUAUCUAUCUAAAGAUCCAUCUGGUUUGAAUUUGGUUGUGAACACCCAUUUACAACCCACUAUUUUUUUCCCUAUAGGUAAUUCUACUAUUUCCCAUGUACCUAUUUUUUCAAGAGCGCGCAUCUCCUUUAAAAUAGCCUCCUUCCACUCAAGAACCUAUAAAGCAUCUUUCACAUUUUUGGGUAUUUCACAGUAUCGAGAUACGAAACAAAGGCUGAGAAUGUCAAAGACAAUGUUUUAUAGGAUACAAAGUUAGACAUGGGGUAUUUGACAAAAUUUCUAACACAUUUUCUUUUAACAAUUGGAAUAUCUAAAUCAGAAAAUUCAUUGGCUGGAUUAUGAGCUUUACCUGGACUUUUGACAAGAUCUUGUAGGUCGGAUUCUUGGUGAUGAAUCUGGUAGAUUCCACUUUCUUGACUUCAGUUUCUUUUUGAGUAAACAAUUAACUCCUUUGUUUGUUCUUUAUUCUCAUGAUCAGACUUUACGCCUUUAUACUCAUUUUUAUUAAUAACAUUAACAUCAUUAAUUUCUGUGUUAAUCAUAAAUUUACCUUCCCCAUUAUUAGAAUCUCUAUGUUGUAUAUUUCUAGUCUUUUCUUGAUCAAUUAUAGAAUCUUCCUUACUAUAAUUUCCUCCCUGAAGAUUAGAAUCAAAAUAAGAUUGCAUUUCAACAAAUGUGACAUCCAUGGUACAAUAAUCUUCCUAUCAAUUGUAUCAUAACAUUUGUAACCUUUUUUAUUAGAAGCAUAGCCAACAAAGGCGCAUUUUUUUUUCUCUAGGAUCUAGUUUACCAUGGUUGUAAAGAUGAACAAAAACACUACACCCAAAAACUCAAAGGGAUAAAUCUAUGAUCAAUUUAAAGUUAGGAAAGUUAUCUUUAAAGAGACGAAAAGGAGCUCUAUAGUUUAGAGUUGUACUGGGCAUUCUAUUAAUAAGAUAUGUAGCUGUUAACAAGGCUUCGCCCCAAAGAUAACGUGGUACCUGACUAGUGAACAUCAAGACUCUAGUUACUCUAAAAAGAUGUUGGUUUUUUCUUUCUACAAUCCCAUUUUGUUGUGGGGUAUUUGUACAAGAGCUUUGGUGGACUAUUCCAUGUUUGAUUAAGAAAACACUUAAUUGGUCACUAAAAAAUUCCCCACUAUUGUCACUCCGAAAUACUUCUAUUUUCACACCAAAUUGUGUUUUCACCAUAGCAUAAAAAGACUGAAACACAUUUUUAACUUCAGACUUAUCUUUUAAUUUAAAAAAACCCAACAAAUACGAAUAUGAUCAUCAAUAAAUGUGACAAACUAACGUUUUCCUGAAAAAGUUGAGACUCUUGAAGGUCCCCUGUAAUCACUGAAUUUUGCCUGGGUUGGAUUUUGGGCCGGGCUGGUCUCGUAUGGGCCCGAUGAUCGGGCCCAUUAAGAUUUAAUUUUGAACUUGUUUUAGCCUAUUUUUAAUUACUGUUUUAAAUAUUAAUAAAAUAGUAGUAAAAAAAAUCUCAAAAAAAAUAUAAAAAAUACAAAAAAAUAUAAAUUACAUUUUAACCCCUCUACUUUUUAAAAUUUACAUUUUGACCCCAAAAUUUUCUUUAAAUUACACUUUGACCCCUAAUAUUUCGUAAAUUACAGUCAAGCCCCUAAACUUUCCAGAAAUUACAUUUUUGCCCUAUAUUUUCCUAAAAUCGCAUUUUUGCCCCAGAAACUUUACACCCGUUACAAUUUAGUCCUUCUGGGCAUGACAAGACUGCCCCCAACCAGCAUCCGGGCGUGCACCGCACCCUACGCCUGACACCGCCAAUCAGCCAUGCUCCCCACCUCCAUGCCACCUGAAAACAAGAAGGAAAAAGACAAAAUUGAAAGAUUAAAAGGAGAAAAUUGAAGAGAAAGGUGGGGAUUUUUGGGCAGCCAAAAACAAAAAAAAACAGCAGAGAAAAGAGAAAAAAAACAGCAGCAAGCCAAAAGCCUCCACCACCACCCUCCCGCAACCAUCGUCGUCGCACCACCAUUGUGACGCCACCACCACCGUCACACCUACACAAAUGAGGGAAGCAACAAGCAAAUUAUAAAAGCAACAAGCAAAGAAAAAAUAGCAACCAAAAAGAAAAGGAAGAAAGAAAAGAAGAGAAGAAGAAAGAAAGAGAGAAGAGGAGAGGCCGACGAUCGUCACACCGGACGGAGGAGGCGGCGGCGGCGUAGUGACUUGGGGCUAAGGUGACCCGAAGAAGAAAGAAAAAAGAAAGAAAAAAGAAGGAAAAAGGGAAAGAAAAUAGAAAUAUAUAUAUAUAUGCCGGGCUAACCCGACCUGAUGACCCGGAUCCGACCCGCGCCCGACCCAGCCAGCAGCCAACAGGCCAACAGCAGGCCACUCCAACUGUUGGGCAGCAGCCCACUAAGGCCCAAUUCGCAGCAAAAAAAAAGAGGCCUGUCUUUCAAGCCCAAAAUUUGGGCCUUUGGUAAUUUUUUUCUUUUUAAUCUAUUUUAUUUUAUUUAAUGUAUUUAAAUUGUGUUUUAUUUAAUUUAAAUUAGUAUGUUUAAAAAUAGUUUUCAUAGAUAUUAUUAUGUCAUUUUAAUUACAUAUUUUUUUAAAAUAAUAAUGAUAAAUAUUUUAAUGCAUAAGGCAACGAACCGAUUUAGCAUCGAAUCAUCGAAUUCAUCGCUAUGUUGGAUGAAUAUCGAUGGCUCGUGUUAAAUACGGGACGCCCUUCUAAAAAAUCAAAAAUAUUCAAAAUUCCUCGUAUUUCAAUAAAAAUCCUCCUGUUUCAUUAGAAUCCCGAUUAAAUAUUAAAUUGAAUUGAUUUAACACUAAUUCGAUGGUUUCAUCGCCAUAUCGGGGUGAAUAUCAUCAAUUCGUGUUAAAUACGUUAUUUUUUAAAGAAAAAUCGUUUUUAAAAAAUUUUCAUGUUUUCAAAAUUUUCUCGUAUUUCAAAAUUUUUGACUUUUUGCGUUUUCAAAAAAAAUUCUCGUGUUUCAAAAUUGUCGUGUUUUCAAAAAUCUUCGUGUUUUUAAGAAUUUUUGUGUCUCUAAAAUUCUCGUGUUUUAAAAUUUUUUCGUGUUUCCAAAAUAAUAAUAGUAAUAAUUGUUUCAAAAAUCUGUGUUAAAAAAAUUCGUAUUUUGAUCGGAUCGCGAUUAACUAUUAAAUUGAACUCGUAUUUUUGAAAAUGAAGACAACGCGCGUUUAACGAGAUACCAAUUUUGGGCGUCGCGAGGGUGCUAAAACCUUCCUCGCGCGUAACCAACUCCCGAACCCUAAUUUUCUCUGGAUUUCAACGUAGACCUAAAAUUGCCUCUUUUUUAGAAAAGUUUAAAAUUAAAUUUUUUCUUCUAAAAAGAGAGUUUUGAAGGUGUCCGAUCACACCUAGAAAAAGAUUGGUGGCGACUCCUUUUUUUUUCAAAUAAAAUCAAAACUCCGCUUUCAAAUUUUUCAACAAUCAAUUUGAUUAGCGCCCGUACUCGAAAUUUUUUAGGUCGCUACAUCCCCAAACAUCACUAUGAAUUAAUGAAAAAGGUUUGGAAACUUAAUAUUUUUAAGGUGGAAAGACUGACCGAUGAUGUUUAGCCUGUUCACAAAAUUCACAAUGAUAUGAAUAAGGACUUUUAUUUUUAAAUAGAUUAUUUAACAAAUAUCUUAACUAGUAAAAAUUAGGAUGAACAAGCCUAUAAUGCCAAAUCAUAAUUUUAUCAAAACCAGAAACAGAAUUUAAACAUAAAGUAGUUGUUGGUUGACUUAGAUGGUCGUCGUCAAUAAAGUAAAUUCCACCAGAUUCUUUAGCAUUGCCAAGCAUCCUCCCUGAGACCAUGUCCUGAAAUUUACACAGAGAUGAGUUAAAUAUAACAUUGACAAUUCGAGGAUUGGAAUAAUUUACUGACUGAUAUGAGAUCACAAGCUAGAUUUGGUACAUGUAAAACAUCAUGUAAAACCAAGGAAGAAGAAAUUUUAACAGUGCAUUUCCCAGCUAUUGCCGAGAACGACCCAUCUACUACUUUGAUCUUUUUGUUUCCUGCACAAGAUGUGUAAGUUGAGAAAAGAAAAUGACUACUAGUCAUGUGAUCACCUGCUCCAGAAUCGAUGAUCCACGUGUUGUUUUACAAGGCUUGACACUGAAAAAAAUAAAAAAAAUUUAGUACCUGAUUGAGCAAAGGAGAAAGAAGGAUUAUUGGAUGAGUUAAGAAUAGAAGAAUUCGUCCAAAAUUGUGGUGACUGAAAAAGUUUGUGUAGAUGCUCUAAUUGUUCCUUAAUGAAUGGAGACCCUUCUAAAGAACUUUGACCCUCAUAAUUUUUAGUAGUUGUUUUAAAAACUCUACUAUCCCCUAAUUAUGAACCACGACCAUUGCCACUCUUUUUUUUCCAUUCAUCGGUUUUCCAUGGAGCUUCCAACACGUUUCUCGAGUGUUAAGGGUUAAGGGUUCAACUAAGAAACUUAACAAAAUUCUGAAAUUUAUGUAACUCAAACCUCAAACCUUUAGUGAGCAAACAAAGCACACAACCACAGAAGCAAACACAUUUUCCUUGACACAACUUAGCAAUUAAAAUUCAAAUUUUGGGGCGUUACAAUGUUGCAAAGCUAGUUUGUAACAAAACAUAUAUAUAAAUUGAAUUCAAAUCAUGCAUAAAAGUACAAACCAUAUUCGAGUUCCAAUCGUGUGUUCGAGAUUUUCCUUUCAGAGUUUUGAACUAACAAUUUUAAUGUAAUAUUUCAUGAUGACUACUACAACACAUGAAAGUGGAACACUAAGGGAGUUGGCUUCCAACUUUGUUGAACUUGAUCGUUUUGAUGGUGGCAAUUUUCGACGAUGGCAGAAAAAGAUGCACUUUUUAUUAUCAACUUUGAAGAUUGCUUAUGUUUUGGAUACUCCAAGACCUGAAGAGAAUGAAAACGAAUCUGUUGCUGCAACCCGAGAAAGACAAAAAUGGGACAAUGCUGAUUGCAUGUGCAUGUGUAAUACCCCAAAAAUUUUUACAGUAAGAUAUUAUCUUUGAUAUAAUAAAUAAGGAAAUAAAGUGAAAAAAAGGGGAAAUUUUGGAGCUAUGUCAACAUUGGGAAGUAUAUUAUGACAUAUUAGUUCAAGAAAGGAUUAAAUCGCAAAAGUGAGAAAAGUUUUGUUGCCCAAGAGUAAAUACUCAAAAUUUGAGGGGUUAAAGUGUAAAUAUGAAAAGUUAAAGGACCAAUGGUGUAAAUAUUUUAAGAGUAGAAUGAUCUAGAAACUAAGUAAAAUGGAUGGAUUAGGACCAAAUUGAAAAAUGUGAAGAAUUUUAAGGGACUAAAUUACAAUUUUACCAAAUUAAAUGAUGACUAAAGGAUGGAAUUUUAAAAGAUUAUAAAGGGAAAAAUGGUCAAUUAGAGAGAGAGAAUUCUAGAAGGUAAUGAUGAUGUUGGUGAUAUUUUUAAUUAAUUAAUUAGAUAAAUGUUAUUUAAGUUUUUUUUUUUUUGAAUUUGUAAAUUGCUGCAAAAGAAAACAUUGGUCGUUUGGGAACGAGAACCAUAAAUUAUCAAGAACCUUCGGUUUUUUUCAACAAUGUUAAUGCAUUGAUGUACUCUGCCAAUCUAUAACAGUUAACCACUUUAAUGAAAGUCGAAAGCGCUAAAUUGGGUACUUCCAAUGGACUUGCAAGUUCAUCUACUUCAAGCGAAGCACAACCAUCUAACCGCACAUCUUCUAUACUUGUUAGAAGCUCAGGCACUGAUUUAAGCUCCUUGCAAUUUGACAAUCGAAGGGUUUAAAGCUUUGAAAGUCGAGUAAGAGUUGAAGGAACGCCAUUGAAAUUGUUACCACUAAGAUCAAGUAAUAUCAAAGAGGAUAAACCAGAAACAUCACUUGGAAUAUCUGCUUCACAAAGAUUGCGAACAUUGCUAUUUGACAAUCAAAGAUAUUGAAGCUUGGAGAGUCGCAUAAGAGACACGGGUAUGUUGCUGAAACUGUUACCACUAAGAUCAAGUUUUUUCAAAGAGGAUAAACAAGAAAUAUCACUAGGAAUGUCUCCUUCCCGAAGAUUGCUAUCCCUUAGAUUCAACUCUCUUAAACGGGACAGGAAGGCAACAUCAGAGCCAUGGAAUUCAUUCUUCCUCUUUGGAUUACCUUGGAAAGAGAAGAAAGAUUUCUUUGUACCUUAGAUUGCAUCCAUUGAAAGAAAAAACUUCAAGAUUUUUCAAUUAAAAAAUGAAGGAUGGUAGUUUUGUUAUAGUUGUUUCACUUAAGUCAAGCUCUUCCAAAAAUUCUAAUUGCAGUGAACUAUGGCAAAUUUUCUAACUUUAUAUAACAGCCAGAAAGAUCAAGAGUUUGUAGGCAUCCCAUUUUCCCAUCAAUCUCUGAAACCUUACAAGAUUUGAACAACCGAAAGAAUUAAUGUUUCAAGAGAUUCCAUUCCAAUUUUGGUUGGAAGACUCCUAAGAUUCCAUUCCAAUUUUUGUGGUCAUAGGUGGCGAUUAUAGUGGUGAGAGGUUCGUGUCUUUAAAGUGUAAGAGUGAAGGAAACAAUCAAGAUGUGUGUGAUUAAGUAGGUUUAUUUUGUAAUUGUAGAAAAUAGUACACACUUUAAACUGAGUUAGGCUCCACAGACGUAGGGGGUAACUAAACUGCGUAAUCAUCUUCGUGUGUUUUGUGUGUUUUUUUGUUUUUCUCAUUUAGUACUUGAAGAAGUGCCCACUAACUUAGGUACCAAUUUCUUAGUGUUGUAUCUCUAUUAGCAACGCACUUCUUGCUAGCAAUAGUUUUUUUUUUUUCAAAAGCUUUUACAUUUUUAUUUCUUUAAUGAUUCAUUAGUUUUUGUUUAAAAAAAAAGUUUUUCAUAAGGGCAAGGAUGAAAUUAAAAUUUGACGUCAACUUGAUUUUUUUUUUAAUAAUAGCUAAAGCUACUCAUAGUCUCUUCCCAACCCUUAAAAAGGAGGAUAACAUGCUUCAGCUCGCUUAAACUCACAUUCUCCUACGCUGGCAACAAUGUCAAUGUCAAUUUAAAACUUGAAUACAAAUUAUUUAUCUCUUCACUUAUUAUUCAAUUAGAUAUAAAAAUUGUUUUGCUUAUAGUUUAGUUAUAUUUUUAAUUGAUUGAACUAGUUUAGUUUAGUUAUACAAAAACUUGAUGACAUAUUUAGGCUUCCAACAUUACAAAAAUAAAAGUCUUUUUAGCUUUCUAUUUAAUUUUUUGCCUCUCUUUAAUCCUCAAACUUAAGUUUAUUUUUUUGUCAGAUCACAGCAAAAGUGAUCAAACGUUUAAUUUGCUAAUGUGGAACAAAUAAUUAAUUUUUAAUAUUUUUUGAAUUUUUAAAAAAUUAUAAUAUAUUUUUUAUUUUUAUAAAAUUUUUAAAUAAUCUUAAUAACUUUCUAUUUUUUGGAAAUUUUUAAAAUUAAUUAAUAAGGCAUUAUGCCAUUUGAUUUUUACUGAACCCGACUGUUUUAGCUUUCACUAAAAUACUGCCAGCUCUACCAACUUUGGAGCAUUGUAGAGAUGAUCUGUGAAGUUGUUGCGAGUAUCUUCACCUCUAAAACUCAAGAAAACAUCAUAUUUCCUUUUAGAAAUGGACGAUGGAGUUGAAGGUAACGACAACAUGAGGAUAUAUGAGAAGAAAAAGAUAUCUCAAUUUAGUGCUCAAAAUCAGAAAAUAGUUCGCUCAAUACCACAGAAAGAAACUGGGAACAAUGGGUUGAUGAGGAUAAGAAAGAGAAAAGCAGAUCUACAAAUAGAUGAGGGAUGAUGUUCUUUCCAAGAAGGUGAGAGUUGAUUUUA
rnacentral:lncRNA from 1 species